GAAGGAGACUUGUACUCGGUGGUCGACUUGGAUGGUGCCGGAGUCGCUAAGACAUUGCACUUUGUAUGGAUGUGGAUGCUUCGUCUUGGGCAAUUGGAGCUUGGAGCAAAGUUCUUCACUUGCGACAUUAUGACAACUCCCUCCAUCAGUGAUGACCUUGACGGAUCUUCUAUUGAUGCCGGCCUUGGUGUGGAAUAUAUGGCAUCUUUGGUCUUCUUCUUGGUGAUGUUGUAGAGUCAGGACCUUGGAGACAACAAGGGCGGGACUUGAAUCUUCAUCGCAAAAGACUUGUUCUUCUUCGUCGUUCACUUGGCGGUGCAUGAAGACUUGCUCAAGGGCUUCCAUUUCUCCUUCACUCAUUGAGUCAUAAGUGCCAUCAUCGUUGAGGAUCAUUGUUCGCUUGUUGGUGCAUUCAUAGGACUUGUGGCCUCGGUCUCCGCAAGUGAAACACUUGAAGGAACUCGUCUUGACGGUCUCAUCGGUUGGGGUUGAUGUUGAUGAAGCUCUCGGCUUGAAGUUGCUCUUAGGAGGAUGACUUUGAGUUGACGAAGCUUUCUUGGAACUCGACUUUGUCGAUGUUGCUAGUAGAAGGCUUGGUAGUCGGUGUUGUAGUCGUUGAAGGUUGGUUGUUGGAGAAACCAUAUGUCUUGGAAGAGAACUUGGCAUACUUGAAAUCAUCUUGCACCUGGUGUUCCGCUUUGGUAGCUUGAUGCACUAGCUUGAUGAGGUUCGAGUAUGGUCGGAAGUCGGUGAUCUUCUUGAUAGGAUGGUUGAGUCCAUUCAAGAAACAUGCCAUUGUUUGCUCAUCGUCUUCCGUUUCAUUGGCUCUUAUCAUUGCAAUCUCCAUCUCCUUGCAGUACUCUUCAAUGCUUUUGGUUCCUUGCUUGAGUAGUUGGAGUUUCUUGAAGAGGUCGCAGUUGUAGUAGGUAGGCACAAAGCAUGCUCUCAUGACAUCCUUCAUUUGCGCCUAAGUAGUGAUGGGUGGUUCACCUCUUGCCUCUCGGCGCUCUAUGACUUGUUCGCACCGAAUGAGCACAUAGUCUUGGAACUCAAGGGAUGCCAUCGCUAUCUUCUUCUCUUCUUCAUAGUUGUGCAAACGGGAAAUCUUGUCAACCUUCAAUGCCCAUGAAAGGUACUCUUCAGGAUCGUUGCUUCCGUUGAACUUGGGCAUGGUGAACUUUAGUUUGCCAUAACGUUGCUCUUCAUUGUGUUGGGGUCGGGGAUGAUGACGCCCGUGUUGUAGAUGAUUGUAAAGUUCGUGUCGCUCUUGAUGAGGAGGGUUGUCAACCUCAUGUUGCUCUUGUCGUGGAGGAUUUCCAUUGUCUUCAUGCUCUUGAUGAACUUGAUGGUGAGCUUGUGGGGGGUGUUGUCGAGCUCGAGGAGGAACUUGAAGGAUGUGCCGGUGCACACAAGAUUGAUGUCAUCGUUCAUGAAGUUCUUCGCGAAGUGCUUCCUCUUGUUCACGUGCUUGUCGGCCUCGGUUGGCUACAGCUCGACUUGAAUCUUGGAGGGCUUGUUGUGCCGCAAGUGCUUGAGCUUCACAGAGUUCUUCUUAGUGUUGUGCCUCCGGAUCUUGUGCAACUUGGUGUAGACGCGCUCGCUCUUACUCUUCAUGUUGGCGUUGGCGUUGCAGUUCUCAUGCUAGCAAAAAAGCUUCUUGAGUUUGACAUCGUCGGUGCUCUUGAGAGUCGGUGUCGCGUAGAGGAUUGAGGCUUGCUUGAUGAUCGUUGCACGCGGCACGGCGUAGAGUGUUCGAUGUCGGUGUACUUGAGCCGCAACGUCGACUUGAGCGAGUCCUUCUUGAUGAAGACGAAGUGGAAGAAGAGCGGUUGAGGAACAAAGCGCGAAUUUCGUCCAUCCUUGCAUCAUUCUCUUGCUUGUGAUCAUCGAGCUUGUGGUCGAAGUAGUCCCUUGUACGUUGCUCGGAAAGUCACAAGUCGACGGCAAGGUUGUCGAUGCGUUCACUCAUAGCUUGUUGCUCUUGAUGCAAAGCACAUUGUGCACCAAAGAGGUGGCUCUUGGUGACGUAGGAGUUCAUGUCAUCGUCGUUCUCAAUGAAGAGUGGGUUGGUAGAAGUACUUAGCCUAUCCAUCAUUCCAAGAUAAACAAUGUGAGUGGUAGAAAGAGAAUAACGAAUACCAAAUGUACCUUGACCGAAGUUGAAAGUGGAUCGAUGAUCACUCCAAUGUAGGACAAGGAAAUAGCAAAUUGCGGAAUCCACAAAAAUGCUCUUGUUGCACAACACUAGAGAGACACUAGCACGAUUGCACAAUAGGCAGAUACAAAGAACUUGUGCACAACCUGCUUAGCAAAAAUGCAACGACUUCUAUCCCAAGUAUGCUCUAUGCAAGGUUUUUCAAUGAUAUGAUCCAAGAUGAUCUAGUAUGAUAAUAUUAAUGUUGUAUGAUGCUAUGGUUCUUGCUUAAAAGCUCUUUUCCUAUCUUUCCUUUUGCUUAAAAGCUUGUUUGCCUCUUUGAUGUUUAAGCUCUUUUCUCAUGCAAUGCUUGAAGAACCAAGAUAGCAAUUGUGUAUGCAGUGACAACUUUGUGACACAAGAGAUGAUACCAAUAUAUGCGACAAUGAUGUAUAUAUGCUAUGGGAAGUAUGAUCGCUAAUGUGCACAAGUCUCAUUGCCGGCAAUACUCAAUGGCUAGUCUCGAUGGGUAAGCAACGCAAAGGAGUAAGGCUAUGAUGGCUAUCAAUGUAAUGGCAAGAGUUACAUGUCCAAUACCAAGACGAGGUUACCAUUUCUUGCGGACGGUAUGGUGUCAAAAUGGUGGACCGAAUACCAAAAUGGAGUUGAGGUGGUCGUUGUGAUGACGCGUCUGUGGCGAAGAUGAGCGGCGGUGAUGUUGAUGUCGAACCGUACCUAAAUAGCCGAAACACAAGUAGGACACGGUACCGCAACUCAAAUUCUCAAAGCAAAAUUGGACCAAAAUUGUCGGAGUUGGAGUUGGUAAGCGGUGGUUGUGUAAGUGGUGGAUGUAUGCGGAAGUAUAUGCGGAGAAUCCUAUGGACAUCACCAUGUCAAGAGUCCGUUCGACGAGUGACACGUGCGACAUCUACUUCACAUACACAAAGGUGAAUCAUCUCCUUUACACGUGCUCACUUGACCCCUUCGAGGAUGGUAUACUACUUGACACUCCACUCGUGUGCAUACAUAGGUACUGUCGGAACACUACGGACGACGAGGAGGAGUGCAAGCGCCAAGGAACAACUACACCAUCCGCGACGGAAGCCUGGAAGCGACAACGGAAGAAGGCAGAGCUUCUGACGCUACAGCGGCCGGACAUCCGGGACAGAGGCCGGACAUCCGGCGCCUGGGCAGCCGCGCAGGAGCUGCCCCAACAGAUGGCCAACAGCAUCAGCGGCCAGACAUCCGGCGCCAGCCCCGGACAUCCGGCGCCUCAACAACGCCCCAACAUCCGGCGCCCAACCCCGGAAAUACGGACACCAGCUAUCUAGAGAGAAACAAUCUCGACCACCGCCAGGACGGACAUCCGGCGAGUGCCCGGACAUCCGGUACCCCGCAAAUGGCCGGACAUCCGGGCCCCAGCCCGGACAUCCGGCGCCUGCCUACGCGCAUGGACAAGGCCCGAUCCCCUUUCCCACUUACCCCUUCGUGGCUUAGACUAUAUAUUCUACCCCCUCCUCCUAGUUAGGGUUAGCAUUGUGAUAGCUCAUUUGAGAGAUAGAGCUACGCUCAUCCAUAUCGGAUCUACUCCACGAGAGAGACCGCGACCCCUAUAUGGAGAAGAUCCACCUUGGAUUCAAGACCUCCUCAUGGAGAAGACAUCAAGACCUCCUCACGGAGAAGAACGGUUACCCUUUGUAUCGUCCCUUGUUGAUUGUGGAUCUUGUAUCUCCUCUCGUGUUUCGGGGAUCUAGCACAUGUGUGAUCAUACUUGUUGUUUUGACGGUUCUCUUGUGUUUCCCUUUGUGAUUUCCCCUCGUGUUUCCACUCGUGUUCUUCCUGUUCAUCGCGGGAUAUGCUCCUUUCGUGAAAUAUCGGGCGAUUAGGGUUCUACCCUACAUCAUCUUGAUAUCAUGAGCCACGUUGUUCAUGAUUUCGGAGCCUCCACUCGUUGUUUUCUAGCCUAAUUUUGCUGUGUUCUUCCCCAAUUUCGAAAAUCCCCACAAAAAAUAGCCCCAAUUUUUUUUUGUGAUUUGUUGGUUUGAUGAAGUUUCAUUGGACUUGAUCCAUAGAUUUGCUUGGUUUCAAGUGGAUCUAGCAUCUCUCCAAGUUUACCCAUCUUUCAUCCACGAAAUCUCAUCGAUUUUGACCUUGGAAAUCGAGUUUUUCCACCCCCAAUUCAAAAUUUUCCGCCCAAACAAAAGCUGGAAUCGUCGGGCCGGACAUCCGGGCCAUCGGGCCGGACAUUUGGACCCCAAGACGGACAUCCGGCUCCUGGAGCGCCAAAUCUGCACAGUUCUGGACAUUAGGUCCCGGAUUUCCGGCCCCGAGCCCGGAUGUCCGACCCCUGACAUCUCAGCCAUCCCCGUUUCACCGAUUUGUCCAUAACUAAUUCAUCCGAAGUCUGAUUUUUGCGUUCUUUAGCUCAUUGAAAAGCUCUUGAUAUCCCCCUUCCCACAAAAAUACUUCCAUCACUGUCGGUGUCAAAACCGGCGGAUCUCGGGUAGGGGGUCCCGAACUGUGCGUCUAGGCCGGAUGGUAACAGGAGGCAGGGAACACGAUGUUUUACCCAGGUUCGGGCCCUCUUGAUGGAGGUAAAACCCUACGUCCUGCUUGAUUAAUAUUGAUGAUAUGGGUAGUACAAGAGUAGAUCUACCACGAGAUCAGAGAGGCUAAACCCUAGAAGCUAGCCUAUGGUAUGAUUAUAUGUUAUGGUUGUUGUCCUACGGACUAAAACCCGUUGGUUUAUAUAGACACAGGAGAGGGUUAGGGUUACACAAGGUCGGUUACAAAGGAGGAGAUAUCCAUAUCCGUAUUGCCUAGCUUGACUUCCAUGCCAAGUAGAGUCCCACCCGGACACGAGACGAAGUCUUGAAUCUUGUAUCUUCAUAGUCUAACAGUCCGGCCAAUGGAGAUAGUCCGGCUGUCCGGAGACCCCCUAAUCCAGGACUCCCUCAGUAGCCCCUGAACCAGGCUUCAAUGACGAUGAGUCCGGCGCGCAGUAUUGUCUUCGGCAUUGCAAGGCGGGUUCCUUCUCCGAAUACAUCACAGAAGAAUUUAAAUACGAGGAUAGUGUCCGACCCUGCAAAAUAAGUUCCACAUUCCACCGUAGAGAGAAUAAUAUUUCCGCAGAUCUAAUUUGUUGGCUUGUUUUGGCAGCAUGACGUUACGUCAUGGCCCGGUGAUUAUUCGAACCGUUUCUCUUAACCAGCCCCGCACAUAACGCGAGGCAGUUUUUCGACCCGUCUUGUCAAAGCAGAGAUCGUGUCCCCUUAUUACGGGAUUCUCAUCAAUACGUCCAUGGGUAACCCAACCGCGCCAUCAAUUGCGGCGCUUGGGGGAUAAGCGAGUUUUACCAGGCAAGUGGGGACGCUUAGUUUCGUUCGCCCAUAUAAAGGGUUGGAUUCACCUUUCUAUCCAUGCCUUCUUCCUCCUUUGCUCAUCUGUUCUUGCACACUCGAGCUCUAGCGCCCAAGUCCGCACUUCCCACCUCGACCUUCUCCAAUCAUGUCCGGAGCGGGAGGCAUGUGGAUGAUCUCCUCCAUCACGGAGGGAGACAUCAAGAAACUGAGGAGAGCCGGAUACCUGCCCGACGACAUCGUGCACCGGCUCCUAGAUGAGGGGCAGCUCAUCCCCGCUCCCAGGCCCCAUGAGAGGGUAGUAUUCCUCCACCACUUCCUCCGCGGACUAGGGUUUCCCCUCCAUCCAUUCGUCCAUGGUCUCAUGUUCUACUACGGGCUAGACUGUCAUGAUCUGGCCCCGAACUUCAUCUCAACAUUUCGGCGUUCAUCGUCAUGUUGAGGUUUUCCUCCACAUCCGGCCCCACUUCGGCCUGUGGUUAAAGACCUUCAAUAUUAAGCCGAAGGUGGUAUGAGGCCAACAAGCAGAAUGCGACGGAGCCAUGGUGGGUAAGAUGCCCAAUGUCAUAUGGCUCGAAGGCUCCUUCGUGGAGACAAUAAAGGGAUGGCAGUCGGCGUGGUUCUACAUCACCGAGCCGCGCGACGCCAAAUGGGCGACAGCCCCUGAGUUCCGAUCCGGAUUCCCUACACGGCUCACUUCUUGGAAAGAGAAGGGAUUGUCGUGGGGUUCAUCGGUGGAGCUGGACGGACUCCAGAAAUGCAUCCAGAGUAUGGCAAGCAAGAAGCUCAAGCUUGUCAACAUAGUCCAAGUUAUGCUCAUCCGCCGGAUCCUCCCGUGUCAACAAUGGGAUUUUACCUUAUGGGAGUUCGACCCGGCCCAGCACUCGACUCUGAGCGAGCUCUUUGAUACGACGCACAAGGACGUCUGGAAGGUGUUGUUCAAGGGCGCCGAGAUCCCUCCUUCUCUCGCCGAGGACCGCGGACUAAGCGCAAAGCGCCUAGCGCGUUCGGUGAGUUUAAUAUGUCCCGUAAGACAUUUAUUUUCCCCAGCUUAAUUAUGUGCGGGGUCUAAUCUCCAUGCCUUUGAUAGGACUGGGUGGAGAUGGCGGGGCAGAUUAACUGUCCGGCUCCUUUGCCCGAAGACACUGCGAGUGCUCUCCUGACGGAGAUGCUGGCUCCGGCUCCUUACAAGGUGCAGGAGAAGACCAAGAAGGCCAAGGGAGCCUGAAAGAGUUCUCAACGCCAGGUGUUAUCAGACUCAUCGUCCGAUAACUCUGCGGCACACUCUUCCCCUGAAGACGAGGAGGAAGAAGAAGAUGCUCCCCCUCCAGGCGGGGGAGACAAGAAAAGGAAGGCCGCCCCAACUGGGGAGGCCAAAGGGUCCAAGAAGGGGAGGACUCUCCUUCCGGACAGUUCCACCGCCGCCGACGAGGGCGAGGACGAGUGGUUGCCCCGGGCCAAGCCCCCCGGGAGAUCGUAAGUAUUCGGAUAACAGAGUAACUCAUAGCAUUCUUUUGCUGCACUGCUUUCCCUAACGCCGAAUAUGAUUAUGCAGGCCGCCGCGAACCAGCAUUGAUGUAUCAUCGGACGGCUCACUGGGCUCGUCGGAUAUGGAUAGCGAUCCAGUCCCGACCGCCACCUCCCCUCAUCCUGUUGACGACGCCGAGGUGGUGUCUCAAAAGGCACCGGGUCGAGGGGAGACAGUCCUGGAGGCGCCUCAAGGCGACCUUCUGGACUCCGGGAGCCGCGGGGAUGGGGUGAUAGAGGCUAAGGUGUCCCGAUGUUUCGAUGAGAUGGUGGCUAUCGUUUUCUGUGGGAGUCGACCUUGACGAUCCAACUACGAACGUGCGAGACAUCGCGCCUUAGCAAUCACUAAACCAACUUCCGAGGGUUAUUGACCACGCCGGAGCAACGAUCAACCUGACCACGAGGGUCUGUUUCCUGCGAGCAAACGAAGAACAAGCAAGAAACUGAGAUUGCAAUCGGGAUAUUGCGAAUAUAAGAUGAAAGCUUUAUUGAUCAAGGUGGGGUUCUGUGACGUCUUGGUCUGGUCGUUGGACACAAACGAAGCACGCGAAGUUGCAGCUAUGGCGAACUUUUAAUCUAAACAAAACCCAAAGUCUAAACGACGCCCUAAGGGCUGUAUAUAUGGAGGAAGAGGGGGGAAUUUCGUGUCCCUUGAGGGUGGGGUCCGAAACCAACCCUAACUCUUGUUUCCCCACACAUACGGACUCUAAAAAUAGCCUAUACUUAAAUAUUUCGAAAUUACAUGGGCCUGGCCCAUUAAUAAGGUGACGCAGCACCUAGAAUAGUCUAUGGACGAAUAUUAUGAAGUGGCAUCUUGUAUAUUUCGUCCAAGACUUCAUGCACUCCUUAUGGCGGCUUCAAAGUCCUGAAAUCAUCACUUGUAGCUCCGUUCUUGAUCCCCUUGCGCAUGCCAUCAACUCCAUGCGUGUUCUUGCUCCAAUGUUCAUCCUUCUCCAAGCUAGGCCCUUCAUUUGUAAGCAAAACAAAUGUAUCCAAUUUAGGCAGCAUCAUAAUCUCAUGAACAUUAGAAUCAUUACCAAGAAACGAAAGUACCUGGUAAUUUAAUUGGCGUGCGCGAGCUCUAGUAAUUGGUCCAGUAUAUGUAACAGUAGGGGCUGUGGGUGUAACAAUGGUAUUGAUGUCCUCAUCAUCCUCCCCUUCUUGAAAUGAAGUCGUCCUCGACGGAAGCGCAUCUUCCUCACCCAAAUAAGGCUUCAAAUCUGCAAUGUUAAAAGUGGGACUAACCCCAAAAUCUACAGUUAGCUCAAGUUUAUAUGCAUGAUCAUUUAUUUUCUCUAACACCUUAAAAGGACCAUCAACACGUGGCACUAGCUUUGAUUUGCGCAGAUUAGGAAAUCUAUCUUUACGCAAAUGUAACCAAACAAGAUCUCCAGGCGCAAACACAACAUGUUUUCUACCCUUAUCUCCAGCAAGUUUAUAUUUAGCAUUCAUACGCUCAAUGUUUUCCUUAGUUAACUCAUGCAUUUUUAAAAUCAAUUCAGAACGUUCUUUAGCAUCAAAAUUAACCUUCUCUGAAGAUGGAAGAGGCAACAAAUCAAUAGGUGCACGAGGUAGGAAACCAUACACAAUUUCAAAAGGGCACAUCUUAGUAGUAGAAUGCAAUGAACGAUUAUAAGCAAAUUCAAUAUAGGCAAGCAUUCUUCCCACAUUUUCUUGUUAUUCUUCAAAACAGCCCUAAGCAUAGUAGACAAUGUUCUAUUGAUUACUUCAGUUUGUCCAUCAGUUUGGGGGUGACAAGUAGUACUAAAAAGCAGCUUAGUCCCCAACUUAGCCCAUAAACAUCUCCAAAAGUGGCUAAGAAAUUUAGUAUCACGAUCUGAAACAAUAGUAUUUGGCACACCAUGUAAGCGAAUAAUUUCACGAAAGGACAAAUCAGCAACAUUAACAGCAUCAUCGCUUUUAUGACAUGGUAUAAAGUGUGCCAUUUUCGAGAACCUAUCCACGACAACAAAUAUGCUAUCCCUCCCCUUCUUUGUUCGAGGUAAACCUAAAACAAAGUCCAUAGAUAUAUCCUCCGAAGGAACAAUAGUUACAGGCAAAGGCAUAUAUAAACCAUGAGGAUUGAGUCGUGACUUAGCUCUUUGACAUGUAGUGCAGCGAGCAACAAAACGCUCAACAUCCCGUCUCAUCUUUGGCCAAAAUAAAUGUGUAGCAAGUAUAUCCUCCGUCUUCUUGACGCCAAAGUGUCCCAUUAAUCCUCCUCCAUGCGCCUCCUGCAACAACAAAAGAUGAACGGAGCUAGCUGGAAUGCAUAGCUUGUUAGCACGAAACACAAAUCCAUCGUUAAGAACGACCUUGUUCCAAGUUCUCCCUUCCUUACAAUUCUGCAAUACAUCUUUAAAUUCAGCAUCAUGAACAUACUGAUCUUUGAUGGUCUCCAAACCAAAUAUUUUAAAGUCAAGUUGUGAAAGCAUAGUAUAACGACGAGACAAGGCAUCAGCAAUAACAUUUUCUUUACCCUUCUUGUGUUUAAUGACAUAAGGGAAAGUCUCAAUGAAUUCAACCCAUUUAGCAUGUCUAUGGUUCAGUUUUGCUUGACUUUUAAUGUGUUUCAAAGAUUCAUGAUCAGAAUGUAUAACAAAUUCCUUGGGCCAUAAAUAAUGUUGCCAUGUUUCUAAGGUCCGAACAAGAGCAUAUAAUUCUUUAUCAUAAGUAGAAUAGUUCAGACUAGGCCCACUCAAUUUUUCAGAAAAGUAUGCAACAGGUUUUCCAUCUUGUAAUAACACACCUCCUAAUCCAAUUCCACUAGCAUCACAUUCAAGCGCAAAAGUCUUAUUGAAAUUAGGAAGUUGGAGUAAAGGAGCAUGUGUCAACUUAUCUUUCAAUACCGUGAAGGCUUCUUCGUGUGCGAUACCCCAAACAAAAGGCACAUCCUUCUUUGUAAGCUCGUUGAGAGGUGCAGCAAUGGUGCUGAAAUCUCUCACAAAACGCCUAUAGAAACCAGCGAGGCCAAGGAAACUCCUCACUUGUGUGACCAUUUUGGGCUGCGGCCAACUCUCAAUAGCUUCAAUCUUGGCUUUAUCAACUUCAAUUCCCUGUGGAGUAACAACAUAGCCAAGAAAAGAUACUCGGUCGGUGCAAAAGGUGCACUUUCCAAGGUUUCCAAACAAACGUGCAUCACGUAGAGCAAUAAAGACAGCACGUAAAUGUUCCAAAUGUUCCUCCAAAGAUUUGCUAUAAAUCAAUAUGUCAUCAAAGUAAACUACCACAAAUCGUCCAAUGAAAGCACGUAAAACUUCGUUCAUUAACCUCAUGAAAGUAUUAGGUGCAUUAGUUAACCCAAAAGGCAUGACUAACUACUCAUAUAAUCCAAACUUAGUUUUAAAUGCUGUUUUCCAUUCAUCUCCCAAUUUCAUACGAAUUUGAUGGUAUCCACUACGCAAAUCAACUUUGGAGAAUAUUGUAGAGCCACUCAAUUCAUCAAGCAUAUCAUCUAGCCUAGGAAUAGGAUGACGAUAACGAAUAGUAAUAUUAUUUAUGCCUCUACAAUCAACGCACAUAUGCGACGUACCAUCCUUUUUCGGCACUAAAAUGAUAGGAACAGCACAAGGACUAAGGGAUUCGCGUAUAUAACCUUUGUCGAGCAGUUCUUGUACUUGACGCAUAAUCUCCUUCGUCUCCUCUGGAUUGGUACGGUAUGGUGCACGGUUGGGUAGCGAAGCACCGGGAAUUAAGUCAAUUUGAUGCUCAAUCCCUCGAAUAGGUGGUAAUCCCGGUGGCACGUCUUGUGGAAAGACGUCAGCGAACUCCUGCAAAAUGUUAGUGACAGCAGGGGCAAAGAGGAAGGCACGUCCUCGAAUGAAAAUAAUGCCUCUUUGCACACAAAAGCAUAGCAAACAGAUUUGCUGAAAUCUAGCUCAUCAAUAUCAGAUUUGGUGGCAAGUAAACAUGCACUUUUCAAUUUAAUUUCAGAAACAACAGUAGAUGGUUUAUUAUUAGGCUUCAUUUGGUGCUCAAAUUCUUUUGCCACAAUCUGAUUUUCACUCUUAUUUGUCUCCUAUUUUGCUUUAUUAGCUCUAUUAAUAUCAUCUUUCAAAAUGGAAUCAGGAGUCAUAGGAAGCAAAGUAAUAUUUUUAUCGUUAUGAACAAGAGUAUACUGAUUGUUUCUACCAUGGUGUACAGAAUUUUUUAUCAAAUUGCCAUGGUCUACCAAGUAAUAAGGAACAUGCUUGCAUAGGUACCACAUCACAAUCAACAUAAUCAUCAUAUGUAGAGAUACUAAAAUGCACACGAACAGUACGUGUUACCUUAACCUUGCCGUUGUUGUUGAACCAUUGGAUGUAGUAAGGAUGUGGAUGUGGUCUUGUGGUGAGAGAUAGCUUCUCAACCAUCUCCAUGCUAGCCAAGUUAUUGCAGCUCCCUCCAUCUAUGAUCACGCGAACAGAACGUUCCUUCACAACUCCCUUUGUAUGGAACAAAUUAUGCCUCUGAUUUUGCUCAGCUUGUGUAACCUGCACACUCAAAACACGUUGAGCAACUAAACAUUCAUACCUGUCAGCAUCUUCAGGAGCCAUGUAUUGCGUCUCAUGAUCAGAAUCGUCUCCACCGUGUUCGUCACGUGUAAUAAGAGCCAAAGUCUCCUCAUCAUAGUCACUAGCGGACUCAUACCCACCAUCCUCAGUAACAAUCAUCACACGCUUAGAUGGGCAUUCUCUCGCAUAAUGACCUCCACCCUUGCAACGUCGACAAAUAAUAUCAUGUGUUUGCCCUGUUGAUGCCAUGGAUGAAGACGAGCUCUUUGCAGGCCCAGAAGGUGUGCUCUUGGCAGAUAGUGGUGAUUGUGCUUGCUUUAUUGUAUCACGGUUGGAGGUGGCGGCCGAUGGAGGUGCCGGUGUAGCAGAACGUGUGGAAGUAGAUGAUGCACGUGGUGUCCAUGAUGAAGGUCGACCUGCAGAAAAGUUAGUCCGCGCCAAUGCCUGUCGAUCCUGCACUUCACGUUCAGCUUUACAAGCAAGAUGGAAUAAACGAGUGAUAUUAGUAUACUCCUUAUACUCUAGAAUCGUCUGAAUCUCUCUAUUUAAUCCACCCAUAAAACGUGCAAGCAUAGCUUCAUUCUCCUCAACAAUACCACAUCUAAUCAUGCCAGUUUGUAAUUCCUGAUAAUAUUCUUCUACAGAAUUUUUUUCUUGUCUUAAGCGCUGCAAUUUUUGAAGUAAUUCACGUUGAUAAUAUGGUGGAACCCAACAAGUACGCAUAGCAGUUUUCAAAGCAGCCCAAGUAGCCGGAAUAGGAUAUAAUCUACAAUGCUCAGACCACCAAACACAUGCAAAACUAGUGAAUGCACAAACAGCAGCAGGAACACGUCUCUCCUCGGGAUAUUGUAAACAUGUAAAUCGUUGUUCAGUUUCUAACUCCCAAGUAAAAUAUAUAUCAGGAACAUAUCUACCCUCAAAUGGUGGAAUAUUCAAUUUUAGUUUAGGGAGAUGGUCAUGAUCUCGUACCUGAGGGUGAGCCCUACCAUUGCCAUUAUUUGCAUGUGGACGACCUGGUGGUUGCUGUGCUGGUGGUGGCACGUAGUUCUGAUUUUGAUCAACCUCAUCCUCAUAAUCUCCCACAUAAUCAUCCCGCUCCACAUCAGCAGUAGGAGCCAUAGAAGUAUCAACAGCAGCACCAGCAGUUUGGCCCGACUGAAGAGGGACACGGCUCGCUCGGCGGAGGGCUGUUUCCCGAGGUGGAGGUAGUCGGUGUUGUUGCUGUUUUUGUAGAGGUGCGGCAGGAGCAGCCGGUGGUGGUGGUGGAAAACGCGAAAGCAAUUCAGCAAACUUGUUAUCGAGCUUUGUUUCAAACGUCUUCUCCAUGCCAUCUAUCUUCUCCAUGGCCUCUUCAAAUCUGUUUAUCACAUCUUGCACCUGUACACUCAUCAUUUGCUGAAACGUAUCAUGAAGCUCCUUGUUCGUCAAGUUCUCCCAGUCAGUCUCGUCGGAUUGUGAUCCUGGCAUGGUUAGCAGCAAUAGAAACACACAAGAAUAUGAUCCUACAGACUACUAACAAGUGGUGGCGGUGGCGGGUGUCACAAAUCCGUCAAGCAAAUCUCAAAUUCUUACCAGUUCUUACCCAGCAGCAGGCGGUGAUCGGCAACCGUUAUAGUCAAAACUCUCAAAAGCUUGGAUAGAGCGAUUGCCAGGGAGAGUCAAACGCACGACGUAGAUGUAUGUGGAGCUGGGAAGGCUUAUAGUAUGGUAGCAAAAAGGGUCAGCAAUAAUCAAUUCAGAGAUGCAAAGUUGAAUAAACGCUCAAUGACGGUACUGUGCUGGUCCUAGGCUAGACCGUGCUAGAGACGCGAGCCUAGAACACUAACAAAAUCAUGGCGGUGCACGUAAAUAAGGGAAAAGCACACUGUGGAACUAUUUUUUUUUCGCUCUUUUUUUUGCGCUCCUUUUUUUUGCGCUCCUCUUUUUUUGCGAAAAAUCACUAUAAUGGCGAGUGUCUCAAAACUCUUCCCUCGUCAAACUGAUAGGAUGGGCAUGAAUUUUUUUUCACUUUUUUUCGGAAAUCAGGCCAGCGACGACGAAAAAGUGCGACAAAAAAAUCACUAUGAUGGCACGUGGCUCAAAAGACUCAGAAAAGCCUAAAAAUAGGAUAGGGAAAUUUUUUUUUGCCCGUGAAAAUUUUGGCCUAAAAACUGCCCGGGGGUCUCCAGACUCUUUUUUUUUCGAGACCUACGCAGGCAAGGAAACACGAAUCGGAAUUUAGAUUGAUCUCAAGAACAAACCUAAUAUGAGAAGAACUCGGAUUGGUGGUGGAUAUAUGGUUGUGGUAUAUGGCAGCGGUGGUGGUAUAUGGUAGCGGUGGUGGUAUAUGGAUACAAAUUGGUGGUGGUAUAUGGAUACGGAUUGGUGGUGGUAUAUGGAUAUUGAUUCAGAGCGGUGGCGGAGAAGCAAAAGUGGUAGAUGGGCGAUGAUGAUGGUGCGGCGGCGACGUGACAACUUAUGACCAGAACUCGAAACUCUAAAAGACUAGACUCUAAGACCAGCAACUUGACAUGACGAUGCAACCGCAAAUUCAACAAAGCAAAAACCCUAAAAAGAUUAUGCGAAGGCUCAGAUUGGUUCGGAUAUGAUGAACUAACCCUAAUUUUUUUGUGGCUUUUUCGUGAACUGUAGGUAUGAAUAACAGACUCGAUCUAAUCUACGAAAAACUAUAAAAUCUCACCGAGCAACCUGGAAAUCUGAUACCACUUGAUAGAGGCUAAGGUGUCCCGAUGUUUCGAUGAGAUGGUGGCUAUCGUUUUCUGUGGGAGUCGACCUUGACGAUCCGACUACGAACAUGCGAGAUGUCGCGCCUUAGCAAUCACUAAACCAACUUCCGAGGGUUAUUGACCACACCGGAGCAACGAUCAACCUGACCACGAGGGUCUGUUUCCUGCGAGCAAACGAAGAACAAGCAAGAAACUGAGAUUGCAAUCGGGAUAUUGCGAAUAUAAGAUGAAAGCUUUAUUGAUCAAGGUGGGGUUCUGUGACGUCUUGGUCUGGUCGUUGGACACAAACGAAGUACGCGAAGUUGCAGCUAUGGCGAACUUUUAAUCUAAACAAAACCCAAAGUCUAAAUGACGCCCUAAGGGCUGUAUAUAUGGAGGAAGAGGGGGGAAUUUCGUGGCCCUUGAGGGUGGGGUCCGAAACCAACCCUAACUCUUGUUUCCCCACACAUACGGACUCUAAAAAUAGCCUAUACUUAAAUAUUUCGAAAUUACAUGGGCCUGGCCCAUUAAUAAGGUGACGCAACACCUAGAAUAGCCUAUGACGAAUAUUAUGAAGUGGCAUCUUGUAUAUUUCAUCCAAGGCUUCAUGCACUCCUUAUGGCGGCUUCAAAGUCCUGAAAUCAUCACUUGUAACUCCGUUCUUGAUCCCCUUGCGCAUGCCAUCAACUCCAUGCGUGUUCUUGCUCCAAUGUUCAUCCUUCUCCAAGCUAGGCCCUUCAUAUGUAAGCAAAACAAAUGUAUCCAAUUUAGGCAGCAUCAUAAUCUCAUGAACAUUAGAAUCAUUACCAAGAAACGAAAGUACCUGGUAAUUUAAUUGGCGUGCGUGAGCUCUAGUAAUUGGUCCAGUAUACGUAACAGUAGGGGCUGUGGGUGUAACAAUGGUAUUGAUGUCCUCAUCAUGGGGCCCCCGAGAGCUUCGAGUUCGGCGCUCAGCCGAACACCGCGCCGGACCCUCCAGCGGUUCCAGGCUUGGACAGGCGGCCUCCUUCUAAGAGGGGCAAGACGCCUAUGCCGGUGACCUCUGUCCAUCCAGAGGCGCCGGACAAUCUGCUGGAAGCGCUUCACAGCGCUUCCAUCGACGAGGAGCACCGCACUAUCAUGAGUGCGGUGAUCCAGAAGGUUCAGUCCGCCAAGAGAGGAUUGACUGAAGCUUGUGACAGCCUUCUAACAGGCUUCGAGGUAAGUGUUUUAAAAUGUAGUAGAAAUAUUACUGCAUAGACAGUAGCCCCUGAUGCUUUGUUCGGUGUUCAUAAAGAAAAGACGAACAGAGGAUCAAAUAAUAUUGCAGGAGUCUAAUAUAAGUGAGUCAAUAUGCAUAUGCAGGCUUCCGCCGCACUGACUGUGGAGGUCGCUGUACUGAAGCAGUCCCUCGAGGGGUCCCGGACGGAGCUCAGCCUUGCCAAGAGGCAGCUCGAGGAGAACAAGGGUAAGUAAUACCCUGUCUAUAGAUGUAUAUAUAUAUAUAAAGGACGCGAUUGCAAAAUGACAGGAUCAUUGUAUGUGUGCUAGGGGCCACGACCGAGGUGGCGACCCUGAAGCAAGCGCUAGCCCAGGCCGAAGAGAAAGCGGCCCAGGAGCGCACCGAGUGAGAGAAGCACGAGGCUCGGGUGCGCGAGGUGGAGCAAGAGCUCCAGGCUCUCGUGAUGAAGCACGAGGCGUUGGAGCUUGACUCGAAGACGCGAGAGUCUGAGCUUGCCGCGGCCCUUGAGAGCGCAAAGAGUGCCAAGGCCGAGGCCCAAAAGGCCAUCCAAGAGAUCAACACGAUGAAGAAGAUAGCGGCGGGUAAGGCUUUCUAUAUGCAAAGCAAGCAUGUAAAAGUAAAUUACCGAUUACUUACCCGAAUCCGGAGCUCUUCAGGAGCAUUCGCAGCUUUUCCCCGCAGUGUGUCCGAUGCCACACAAUUUUACCAAGCCGAGGACGGAAGCUCGACGAAGAAGUUGUUCUGGUCUCAGUAUGCGGAGGCCAAACAUCCGGUGCCAAUGAGGGACCAGCUGAAGCAGAUGGUCGAGCUACAUAAGGCGGCCGAUCAGGCCAUGAAGAGCUUCAUAGUCCGGCUGUGGCCUGGCGACGCCCUUCCGAACAGCUUCUUCAGCCUGGUGAGGCGGCUUGUGGAUGCCUGCCCGCGGCUGGAGGUCGUCAAGCGAUCCGUCUGCAUUGAAGGUGCACGCCGGGCUUUCGCCCGUGUGAAAUUGCAAUGGGUCAAGCUAGACACCGUGAAGCUGAUCAAGGAUGGGCCGCCAGAUGGCAAGGAGCACCGCCACCCCGAGAUGUACUACGAGGGUGUUCUGUCGGGUGCCCGUCUCAUCGCGGAUGAGUGCUCAAAAGAUGUAAUAUUUGAGUAAACUUGCUCGUUUUAUCCUGUAUUAUGAAAACUUGUUUCAUAUGUGCUAUGCAAUGCUUGUUUGAAUUUAAAAUAUUACUUUCGGCUGUUUAUCCAAUCUGAGAGAUGGCUAGUCCUCGGCUUCUGCCCCCAUGCCACGAGUGCUGGGGUGUUUGGGAUAAACCUGAGCACUCUUGUUCCCAUAUUUGGGUCCUUCGAGGGAGGUGCUCAGCGCAAUGAACAAGGCAACCAGACUAAUAAUGCUUUAUCACUCUCACUUAGCCAUAAAAUUCUAUAAUUUUAAAUUUCGGCGAAGCCCUUGGUAUUCGGAAGGCCGAAUACGGGGCGCGAUACACGCCUGCAAGCCGGACAGGGCCGGCCCUUCGCCCUAAGUGGCAUAAGUCUUUAGGGACUUGAAAAACCUCGCCGAACAGCGACCAGUCUCUCGCCUUAUCAUGACAGUCAGUUUUAGCUUUCUCUACUGAGGUGCUCAGCCCGGCAGAACCGGGGCACAAUCACAGUAGUUCUCCUAGCGCUACCUUAGCCGAUGGAGCGGAACGUAAGGUACCAAAACAUAGGAGCCGGGCAAACCCAACAUUUGACCAAAGACAUGAUUCGGAGCUAAUGCAUAUAAUGCUAUAAGUUCGGGGUGCCGCACUUGUGAAAGUGUUUGGACUUUUCACACCGCAUUGUGGGGUAUGUAAGCCCCUGGUGUAUUAGCCGUACCAUAGUGUACGGUUGCAAGGCGUCAUUAAUGAACACACACACACAUAUAUAUAUAUAACAAGAAUGCAAUAAUAGUCGUAAUGUCAUGCAUUAUUUAUUAAAAAGUUGCGUUAAAGCAGAGUGAUACAGAUAGUGCGAUAAGAAAAGAGUAGGACUUUGUCCCUUCCAAGGGCAAGCUGAGGAAGGAUAUUAAAUUGAAUAUUUCACUCGUUCACUAUAAUCAACCUGGGAAUUCCGUGAUAUAACGUAGCUGUCUGCCUCUUUGGUUGCUGCAUCAUGUGUUCGGCAAUAGUGCUGCCGGACAGUGUUUCCAGAGAUUAAGGUCCUGAAAGAAGAAAGAAAAAUAACCAAACGGGAAGCCCCUAGUGCGGUUUAAGCCGCGUUUUGGGGCUUGCCGCAGUUGUGCCCCCCUCCCCACCUGUGCCCAUGGUACUUUUAAUGCGUAAUUAUGUACGCGCGACAUGAAUAUCGCCGUUGGGCUGGGAUUGGGGUGGCUGCUGUAUUGCUACGCGAGCUCAGAUCGAGCCAGGCGGUCUAUUUGCCGAUUGCCCCGAGCGCGCUUGAAGGUGUCCGGGUUUUGAAGCACCGAACUGGUUGAUUGCCUUGAGAGGCUGCUUUGCGCUUCUGCUGCGAGGGCCGCGGUGUGCUCCUUUGUUCGGAGAGAGCGCUCUGUGAUUCCAAUGACUAUAAUAACUCCGCGAGGUCCUGGCAUCUUGAGCUUGAGGUAUGCAUAAUGCGGUACCACAUUGAAUCUAGAAAAUGCGGUUCGCCCGAGCAGCGCGUGAUAACCACUGCGGAACGGGACUAUAUCGAAGAUUAACUCUUCGCUUCAGAAGUUAUCCGAGGAUCCGAAGACCACUUCCAGUGUAAUUGAGCCUGUGCAAUGGGCCUCUACACCUGGAAUGACACCCUUAAAGGUCAUUUUUGUGGGUUUGAUCCUUGAGGGGUCUAUACACAUUUUGCACACUGUGUCCUGAUAAAGCAGGUUCAGGCCGCCGCCGCCGUCCAUGAGGACUCCAGUGAGGUGAAAUCCGUCAAUGAUUGGGUCUCGGACCAGUGCGGCGAAUCCGCCAUGAUGGAUACUAGUGGGGUGGUCCCUGCGAUCGAAGGUGAUCCGACAGGAGGACCAAGGGUUGAACUUUGGGUCGACUGGCUCCAACGCAUAUACGUCCUUGAGCGCACGCUUCUCCUCCCUCUUGGGGAUGUGGGUUGCGUAUAUCAUGUUCACCAUCCGCACUUGCGGGGGAAACCUCUUCUGUCCUCUAGUGUGGGGCUGCCGGGGCUCCUCCUCGUCAUCGCUAUGCGGCCCCUUGUCCUUGUUUUCAGCAAUUAACUUGCCAGCCUUCUUGAACACCCAACAAUCCCUCUUGGUGUGAUUGGCGGGCUUGUUUGGGGUGCCGUGUAUUUGACACAAGCGAUCGAGUAUACGGUCCAAGCUGGACGGACCCGGCGUACUUUGUUUGAAUGACUUUUUCCGCUGACCGGGUUUAGAGCCUUUGAAUCCGGCAUUGACUGCCGUAUCCUCAGUAUUUUCGCUGUUAAUGCGGCGCUUAUGCUUGUUGCGACGUGACCUGCUAUUGCCGUCCUUGGUAUCUGAGGUACCAUGGUUCUUUGACAUGUUAUUACUGCGAGUCAGCCAACUGUCUUCUCCCACACAAAAAGUGGGUCAUGAGCGUCAUGAGAGCUGCCAUAGAUUUCGGCUUUUCCUGACCAAGGUGCCGGGCUAGCCACUCGUCUCGGAUAUUAUGCUUGAAAGCCGCUAAGGCCUCCGCAUCCGGACAGUCGACGAUUUGAUUUUUCUUAGUAAGGAACCGAGUCCAGAAUUGCCUAACUGAUUCUUCUGGCUGCUGAAUUAUGUGGCUCAAGUCAUCGGCGUCUGGUGGUCGCACAUAAGUGCCCUGAAAGUUGUCAAGGAAUGCGGCUUCCAGAUCUUCCCAACAGCUAAUGGAGUCCGCUGGCAAGCUGUUAAGCCAAUGCCGUGCUGGUCCAUUGAGCUUUAGUGGGAGGUAUUUAAUGGCGUGUAAGUCAUCGCCGCGGGCCAUGUGGAUGUGGAGGAGGAAGUCCUCAAUCCAUACCGCGGGAUCUGCUGUGCCGUUGUAUGAUUCAAUAUUUACAGGUUUGAAACCUUCUGGGAAUUGAUGUUCCAUUACUUCGUCUAUGAAGCAUAAGGGGUGUGCGGCGCCUCUGUAUUGGGCUAUAUCUCGAUGCAGCUCGAAUGGGUCUUGCCCGCUGUGUUCGGCCUGGCCGGAUUUGCUUUUACUAUAUCCGACGUGACAUUUGUCGUCUCGCAGAGUGGUGCACCCUCGUGAUCCGUAGAUCGAUCUUGAAUGCUUUGCCUUGUCCUCCAAUAUGUCUCGCAGGUCUGGCAUAUCUCCCCAUGCCUUUUUAUUUGAAUGGCAUUGGGGUGAAGUCUGAGCUUUUGGUUGGAAUGCCUCUCUAUCGCGGCCACGAGGUGGCCGAUCAGCCAUAUCAUACGCUUCUUCCUCCAGUCGGGGUAUUAACCUGUGCCUUGGGUAACUCUUGGAGGGGCGCUCGAGUUUAUAUUCCUCGGCCGCGAGGACUUCAAUCCAUUUCUCAGCUAGCAGAUCUUGAUCAGCUUGAAGCUGCUGCUGCUUUUUCUUUAGGCUAUUUGCCGUGGCCAUAAGCCGACGCUUGAACCGCUCUUGUUCGACGGAUCCUCUGGGACGGCGAAUUCGUCGUCGCCGAGGCUUGCCUCGUCUUCGGAGGGGGGGGGAUGUAAUUGUCAUCCUCCUCUUCUCCGUCUGCCGCUCUCUCAGGAGAGCUGGCUCCUUCAUCCUCCUGCUCUAAAUCUUGCUGGAGGGGUUUGUUGUUUUCUUCGGCGCUAUCCGGAGUGUUAUUAUCUCCUGUGCCGGUAUCACCACUUUUGCUUUGGCGGGACUUAGAACAGCGCCGCUGACGUUGGCGUUUGGGUUGCUUCUUGGAGGGGUCAUCCUCCGCUAUCCCGUCGCCAUUGCCUACUUUGGGUGUAUCCACCAUGUAUAUGUCAUAUGACAAGGUGGCUUUCCAGUGCCCUAUAGGUGCUGGUUCAUGUUCGUCUCCUACAUCGCCGUCUAUACCGUCAAUGUCUUCGAAGUCGAAGUCGAGCAUGUCGGUUAAAUCAUCGAUAGUGGCUACGAAGUGGGUGGUGGGUGGGCGUCGAAUUUCUUUGUCAUCCGCAUCCCAAUCCUAUUGGCCAUAAUCCGGCCAGGGCUCUCCUGACAAAGAGAGAGACCUUAGUGAAUUCAGAAUGUCGCCGAGGGGCGAGUGCUGAAAGAUAUCCGCGGUGGUGAAUUCCAUGAUCGACGCCUAAUCAGAUUCGAUUGGCAGGUGCGCAGAUGGUUCGGAGUCCGGAAAAGAGUCCGACACCUUGGAGUCACGGGCUACACAGAGGUUUAGGCUGGUGUUCGGCUCGAUCGACGUUGAGACUGCAGCCCCUGAGGCGGUGUCUAACCACCUGUCCUCAACUGGCGCAGUUGCUUCCGAGCUGAGAGUCAGAGCUGAUGCGGGCGCAGCCUCUGGGGUACUGUUCGGUGGCAGAGCUAGGUCAUACCCAUCGCGACAGUGCGGCGCGCCCGGCUGCGGCUCAAAUCCGUCGAAGAUCAAGUCUCCACGGAUGUCGGCCGUGUAGUUCAAACUUCCAAAUCUGACCUGAUGGCCAGGGGUGUAGCUUUCAAUCUCCUCCAGAUGGCCAAGCGAAUUAGCCCGCAGUGCAAAGCCGCCGAAUACGAAGAUCUGUCCGGGGAGAAAAGUCUCACCCUGGACCGCAUCGCUAUCGAUGAUAAUAGGAGCCAUCAAGCCUAACGGCGACGACAUAGAGGAACUCUCACUGAAAUCACCAAUGUCGGUGUCAAAACCGGCGGAUCUCGGGUAGGGGGUCCCGAACUGUGCAUCUAGGUCGGAUGGUAACAGGAGGCAGGGGACACGAUGUUUUACCCAGGUUCGGGCCUUCUUGAUGGAGGUAAACCCUACGUCCUGCUUGAUUAAUAUUGAUGAUAUGGGUAGUACAAGAGUAGAUCUACCACAAGAUCAGAGAGGCUAAACCCUAGAAGCUAGCCUAUGGUAUGAUUGUAUGUUAUGGUUGUUGUCCUACGGACUAAAACCCGUCGGUUUAUAUAGACAUAGGAGAGGGUUAGGGUUACACAAGGUCGGUUACAAAGGAGGAGAUAUCCAUAUCCGUAUUGCCUAGCUUGCCUUCCACGCCAAGUAGAGUCCCACCCGGACACGAGACGAAGUCUUCAAUCUUGUAUCUUUAUAGUCUAACAGUCCGACCAAUGGAGAUAGUCCGGCUGUCCGGAGACCCCCUAAUCCAAGACUCCCUCAGUAGCCCCUGAACCAGGCUUCAAUGACGAUGAGUCCGGCGCGCAGUAUUGUCUUCGGCAUUGCAAGGCGGGUUCCUUCUCCGAAUACAUCACAGAAGAAUUUAAAUAUGAGGAUAGUGUCCGACCCUGCAAAAUAAGUUCCACAUUCCACCGUAGAGAGAAUAAUAUUUCCGCAGAUCUAAUUUGCUGGCUUGUUUUGGCAGCAUGACGUUACGUCAUGGCCCGGUGAUUAUUCGAACCAUUUCUCUUAACCAGCCCCGCACAUAACGCGAGGCAGUUUUUCGACACGUCUUGUCAAAGCAGAGAUCGUGUCCCCUUAUUACGGGAUUCUCAUCAAUACGGGCAUGGGUAACCCAACCGUGCCAUCAAUUGCGGCGCUUGGGGGAUAAGUGAGUUUUACUAGGCAAGUGGGGACGCUUAGUUUCGUUCGCCCAUAUAAAGGGAUAAGGAUUCACCUUUCUAUCCAUGCCUUCUUCCUCCUUUGCUCAUCCGUUCUUGCACACUCGAGCUCUAGCGCCCAAGUCCGCACUUCCCACCUCGACCUUCUCCAAUCAUGUCCGGAGCGGGAGGCAAGUGGAUGGUCUCCUCCAUCACGGAGGGAGACAUCAAGAAACUGAGGAGAGCCGGAUACCUGCCCGACGACAUCGCGCACUGGCUCCUAGAUGAGGGGCAGCUCAUCCCCACUCCUAGGCCCCAUGAGAGGGUAGUAUUCCUCCACCACUUCCUCCGCGGACUAGGGUUUCCCCUCCAUCCAUUCGUCCGUGGUCUCAUGUUCCACUACGGGCUAGACUGUCAUGAUCUGGCCCCGAACUUCAUCCUCAACAUUUCGGCGUUCAUCGUCGUGUGUGAGGAUUUCCUCCACAUUCGGCCCCCCUUCGGCCUGUGGUUAAAGACCUUCAAUAUUAAGCCUUAUUUGUCUACUUGUUACACUUGCGAAUUUGUGAAUCUCUUUCAACAUUAUUGACUCUUGCUAACAUUUUGCAUUAAAUUUUUGUGCCUCUAUCCUCACCGAGCUCCACCAUAAGCCUUAUUUGUGUAGGUGUGAGAAACCGACAAGAAUUGGUACCAAUUGUGCUAUUUCCUUGUCCACAUUGGAGUGAUCAUUGAUCCACUUUCAACUUCGGUCAAGUUACAUUUGGUAUUCGUUCUUCUCUUUCUACCACUCACAUUUUUCUCUUGGAGUGAUGGAUGGGCAAGGCAUUUCAUCUUCGGUCUACAACAACAACGAUGAGUUCGAUGCCACGAACAACUCCAACAAUGCCAAGAUGCAAGCUCAAAUGGAGGAGAUCAAAGCCCUCAUCAAGUCCUACAAGCGGUCUUCCUCAUCUUUGAGAAGACGCUCAAGAGCACAUGCAUCCGAGCUACCAUUUCCGGCAAGGUCACAUCAGCAUCGACACCAUCAGCACCACGAACAUGAAGGUCAAGAGCUCAACACCAACAACCGCUCAACGACUUCACCAUCUCCCUUGGCAUCUUUGCCAAGCGACUUCAAGGCAUCUUCGCCUUCGGAUAUACGACAUCUUCGCCAACAAGCACCUCAAGACUUCUCUGGAUAGGCGUCGCCGGAUUUCCGGGGUUGGUCGCCGGAUGUCCAGACGUUGCUGAGGCGCCGGAUGUCCGGCCGCUGAAGCUCUUGGCCUUCUGUUGGUGUAGAUCCUAGGUGGCUGCACAGGCGCUGGAUGUCCGGCUGAUAGAGGCGAAGGUGUCUCGAUGUUUCGAUGAGAUGGUGGCUAUCGUUUUCUGUGGGAGUCGACCUUGACGAUCCGACUACGAACGUGCGAGAUGUCGCGCCUUAGCAAUCGCUAAACCAACUUUCGAGGGUUAUUGACCAUGCCAGAGCAUGAUCAAUCUGACCACGAGGGUAUGUUUCCUGCGAGCAAAUGAAUAACAAGCAAGAAACUGAGAUUGCAAUAUGGAUAUUGCGAAUAUAAGAUGAAAGCUUUAUUGAUCAAGGUGGGGUUCUGUGAUGCCUUUGUCUGGUCAUUGAACACAAACGAAGUACGCGAAGUUGCAGCUAUGGCGAACUUUAAUCUAAACAAAACCCAAAGUCUAAGCGACACUGUAAGGGCUGUAUAUAUGGAGGAAGAGGGAGGGAUUUCGUGGCCCUUGGAGGAGGGGUCCGAAACCAACCCUAAUGUAACACCCCGGAUGUAAUUUACCUUAUAUGUAUCCGAACUCUUGCCGUUUCCGGCGCUAAGUUAUUUUAUUUUCCUCGGGUUCGGGUUUUUGUCUCCGUGUGGUGUUGCCAUUGUCAUGCAUCUCAUAUCAUGUCAUCAUGUGCAUUGCAUUCGCAUACGUGUUCGUCUCAUGCAUCCGAGCAUUUUUCCCGUUGUCUGUUUUGCAUUCCGGCGCUCCUAUCUUCUCUGGUGGUCCUUUCUACCUCUUUUCGUGUGUGGGGGUUAAAAAUUUCCGGAUUGGAGCGAGACUUGCCAUGCGGCCUUGGUUUACUACCGGUAGACCGCCUUUUAAGUUUCGUACCAUUUGGACUUCGUUUGAUACUCCAACGGUUAACCGAGGGACCGAGAAGGCCUCGUUUGUGUUGCAGCCCAACACCCUUCGAAUUGGGCCCAAAACCCACCAAAACCCUCUCCAUCAUCUAGAGCGUUCGAUCACAAUCGCGUGGCCGAAAACCGCACCUCAUUUGGAGCUUCCUAGCUCCCUCUACCUCUAUAUAUAGAUCCCUUCCCCGAGAUCCGGACGAAACCCUAGACACCUCCCUCUCCACAUGCCGCCGGACCAAAUCCGGACGGCCGGACACGUCCGCCCGCUCCGCCGGACGAAUCAGCAGCUGCCACCUGUCUCGCGGGCGAGCCCCACUUCGCCGCCGCUGCGCGGGCCCGCCAGGCCCAGCGCCGGCCCUCCCCGCCGCCGUCCGGGCCGAAGCAGCGCGCCGCCCACGCCCGCGUGCCGCCUCUCCCUCGCCGGCCGCCGCUCGCCGCCCCGGCGACCCCGCAACUCCGGCCGACGCCCUUGGGCCCUCCGUCCUCUUCCUCGCAGCCCCGGCCGGCCCAAGCUCCGGUGACUCAAGCUCCAACUCCGGUCGGCGAUCAUCGGGUUCCGUGCAGCUACAGUACCUCGAUCCAAUCUGGAUCUAGAUCUCUCGGUUGACUUUUCCCUCAGAAACCGUAGUUUUUUUGCAUUUUUCAUCAUGUCGUAACUCUGCAUCUGUAGCUCCGAUUUGCACAUGUAGCAUAUCAAAAUGUUCGCCUCAGAGAGUACAUCAUUUCAUCUCAUUGCAUUAUUUUCAUUUGAGCUCAUCUUGAUGCCCUAAAUGCUGUUGGAAGAGAGCUAUAUGAUAUAAUUGUCAGAUCUGUUUCAUCAAAUAGCUAUUUGUCAUUUUUGCCAUGAUUAAUGUGUGCAUGAUAUGGUCCUGAGCUCUACAUGAGUUUUGUUAUAUGCCAUGCCAUCUUUACAGAGGUGCUUACCGUGUUUUUUUUGAUAUGUGUGGUGACUAGCACAAGCUUGUAAAUUAGUGCAUUCGUUAAUGCUGAUUCCAGGGACUUAGAAUUUCUCUAAGUCCUUGUCCUGAUUUUGUCAUUAUGCCAUAUGUUCAUGUUGUUUCCUAGUGAUCCAUGCCUCUUUUGAGGAUGAUCAUUAAGGAUGUUUUGUUAAUCUUGUGGUGCUCUAUCCAUCCAUGUAUUUGUUUGCAUUUAUGGAGCACCCUAGCUUGAGUCAAUCGAGCUCUACUUUUGCCAUUUCAUGAAUCCUGACAGAUUGUUGACUUGUUAGCAAUUUUGCCGAGGAUGUUGUUAUUGAUCCGUGCAUGCUAUGUUGUUGUUCUUGCCAUGUCUAGUUUCUAUGAUAUGUAUUCUUGAUGGGUGUAUGAUUAGUUGGUCAUGCCAUGCUCUGUAGUGAGUGCAUCGAGCUCGUGAACAUGCCUACUCGUUAACAGAUUUGCAUGCUCCAGUUUUUCACCAAGUCUGUAAUCUGAUUAUGUUUUUGCCAUGUUCACAUGCUUGCAAUUGUAUUUUCUGAUCCAUUUUGGCUCAAGGUCACUAAGGGACUUUUGUUAAGUGCUUUGAGUAGCUUCAUGUCAUUCCUUGCUUUGCCAUGUUAAGUUCCUGUAGCAUAUAGUUUUCAUGCUCCAAAGUGUGCUACCUGAUGUUAAAUUCCAGACUUGUGUUAAUUUCACUAAGUCUGAAACCUGUUAUCAUUUGCAUUUUUGCCAUGCUUGUUUGAACCUGUCAAUGGAUGGAUUGGCCGUAGCUCAGUGUUCAUGUUUUGUCAAGCAUCAUGAGUGAAUCCUUUCCAUGUAUUUUGUUGUCAUGUUUGAGUGUUGUAGCAUAUUUAUCUUGAUGCAUUUAGAUGGCUACUUGCUGUUUAUCGCAGAUCGGUGCCAUAUUUGUUUUGCUUGCCUUUUCCAAACCGUGCAUCCGAUUCCGGUGAUCUUUAUAUCGAUUUCAACCGAAAUCACCUCACCUUUCCAGUGGAACUCUUGGAUUUCCAAUUUUAGGCCAGGUUCAAUCAUUCCUUGUCAAAUCUUGCAUAUGCAUCACAUAUCGCAUCCCGCAUAGCAUACCAUGUGAGCAUCAUGUUUGUUUGAGCAUUGCACGUGGUUGAUUGUGUUCCUUUUGCUUGUUUGUCUUGUUUGGGUAGAGCCGGGAGACGAGUGCGCUAACGAGGAGCCCAUUGAGUUUGCUUACGGGGAUCAAGUCAACUCUGACAACUUUGCAGGCAAGAUGAUCAUACCCUCGAAAUCACUUCUAUCUUUGCUUGCUAGAUGCUCGCUCUUUUGCUAUGCCUAUGCUACGAUACCUACCACUUGAUUUCAUGCCUCCCAAAUUGCCAUGUCAAACCUCUAACCCACCAUGUCCUAGCAAACCAUUGAUUGGCUAUGUUACCGCUUUGCUCAACCCCUCUUAUAGUGUUGCUAGUUACAGGUGAAGAUUGGAGACCGUUCCUUGUUGGAACAUUGUUUAUUGUUGGAAUAUCACUAUAUUAUCUUGUUAUCUUAAUGCAUCUAUAUACUUGGUAAAGGGUGGAAGGCUCAGCCUUUUGCCUAGUGUUUUGUUCCACUCUUGCCGCCCUAGUUUCCGUCAUAUCGGUGUUAUUUUCCCGGAUUUUUGCGUUCCUUACGCGGUUGGGUUAUAAUGGGAACCCCUUGACAGUUUGCCUUGAAUAAAACUCCUCCAGCAAUGCCCAACCUUGGGUUUACCAUUUGCCACCUAGCCUCUUUUUCCCUUGGGUUUUCGGAGCCCAAGGGUCAUCUUUAUUUAAACCCCCCCGGGUCAGUGCUCCUCUGAGUGUUGGUCCAAACUAGAGCCCCUUGCAGCGCCACCUCGGGGAAACUCGAGGGCUGUUUUUAGUUUUACGGAUUGCUUAUCCGAGUGUGCCCUGAGAACGAGAGAUGUGCAGCUCCUAUCGGGAUUUGUCGGCACAUUCGGGCGGUGUUGCUGGACUUGUUUUACCAUUGUUGAGGAUGUCUUGUAGAACCGGGAUGCCGAGUCUGAUCGGAAUGUCUCGGGAGAAGGAAUAUCCUUCGUUGACCAUGAGAGCUUGUGAUGGGCUAAGUUGGGACUCCCCUGUAGGGAUUUGAACUUUCGAAAGACGUGCUCGCAGUUAUGGGCAGAUAGGAAUUUGUUAAUGUCCGGUUGUAGAUAACCUGAAAUUUAACUUAAUUAAAAUGAAUCAACCAUGUGUGUUACCGUGAUGGUCUCUUCUUGGCGGAGUCCAGAAAGUGAACACGGUGUUGGAGUAAUGUUUGACGUAGGUUGUUAUAGGAUCACUUCUUGAUCAUAGUUCUUCGUUCGUGCUUUGCCUUCUCUUCUCGCUCUCUUUUGCGAACAGGUUAGCCACCAUAUAUGCUAGUCGCUUGCUGCAGCUCCACAUAUUACCUUGCCUUACCUAUAAGCUUAAAUAGUCUUGAUCGCGAGGGUGCGAGAUUGCUGAGUCCCCGUGACUCACAGAUUACUUCCAAACUAGAUGCAGGGACUGAUGAUACCGUUCCAGAUGAUGCGCUUGAGCUCAAGUGGGAGUUCGACGAAGACUCUCGCCGUUACCAUGUGUCUUUCCCUGAUGAUCAGUAGUGGUGCCCAGUUGGGGCGAUCGGGACCGUGUCGCAUGUUGGGGUUGAUCUUUUAUUUUUGUACCAUAGUCGGACCGUGAGUGUAUUGGAUGAUUGUAAUGUUAUUCAUGUAUUUGUGUGACGUGGCGAGUGUAAGCUAACUAUGUACCUUUUCCCCUAUUAUCUAUUUACAUGGGUUGUUGUGAAGAUUACCUUACUUGCGACAUUGCUUUCAAUGCGGUUAUGCCUCUAAGUUGUGCUUUGACACGUAGGAGAUAUAGCCGCAUCGAGGGCGUUACAAGUUGGUAAUCAGAGCCUUCCCCGACCUUAGGAGCCCCCCUGCUUGAUCGAAUAGCUGGCGUUGUUGAGUCUAGAAAAAUGUUUUGAGUCAUUUAGGAUAUGUAUAUCAGAGAGUUUAGGAAUUCUUUUUACUCCCCAGUCCCUUCAUCGCUCUGGUGAGGCAUCCUGACGUAGAGUUUUGACUCUUCUCUUCUCAAAUUUCACAAAAAAAAUUUUAGGAUCACGCGGGUAUCUUGGAAUCUUCCGAUCAAUUUGUGACGAGAACAUUGUUCUUGGUGCCUCCUGUCAUUUAGGGGUUGUGGCAGUGUCCCGGGGAGUUGAGCUCCGAGGUGUUGUCGUCACAAUUUUAUCAUUGCAGUUCUGGAAUACCAGAGUUUAGGUUCGCCAACAUUGAAAAUCUCUUUUAUGCAGUUGUUGGUGAGAUAACCUCGACGCCACCCAGUACUGGGGCGGGAGUUCGGGAGUAUUGCCAUAACUUGUAUAACGGAUGCUUUUCGAAGGUUGAGGUAGACGAUUUCCAUAGUUUUUCUUGGUUAUGUGUUGAAGGAUGGAUACAACUGGAUGUAGGAUUUGCUAGAUUUGGGUGAUAUAUUAUGCUUCCCCUGUAUCCCCAACACCUGAUUGCAUAACCGGAAAGGUUCGGGAGUUUCAUAGGUGGGAAUUCUUGUAGCUCUAGUUCUUCUUCCAUGGAUAUUUGGUUUGAGAUUGGGUGAUCCUUACCGAGUAUUCGUUCUCGUUCCGUACCUUGUUGUUGUUUUUAUUCUACCUAAAUUCUAAGGGGCUUCUCAAUUCAUGGAUAUGUGACCAUUUCAAUUGGAAUGCAUUCGUUCAUUUUGUUCGGAUGCGAAGACUAUAUGUUGCAAUUUCAACCCGUUUGAUUCAACUUCAAUAUUUGUCUAUCAAUGUGCUAAUGGAUGUCAACCUCUUCAGGAUGGCUCCUUCAACGCGCACGACUCCGAAUCCUGAUCCGCCACCACCACCUCCACCUCCGGAGGCAUGGCAAGCUGUGAUGGCCGCUACCAAUGCAAACACGUAGCUGAUCAUGCAACUUCUUCAAGAGCGCAACCAAGGGAACCAGGGCCAAGGCAACAAUCAGAAUCACUUUGCUACACUCAACCAGUUCCUUGCUAACAAGCCAAAGACCUUCAGCAAUUGUGUUGAGGCAACAGACACUGAUGAUUGGCUCGUGGACAUAUGCAAGCAUUUCGAGUGCAGUAACGUCAGGCCUGAGGACUUUGUCAAGUUCGCUUCCUUCCAACUCAAAGACCAAGCUGCAGAAUGGUUUCAGCAGUACAAAGAUUCCAGAGGAGGCCGUGUGAUUACCUGGGAUGAAUUCCGUCAAGAUUUCAAAGCUCAUCAUAUUCCUCAGAGCGUGGUUGAAAGCAAGCGUGAGGAAUUCCGCAACCUAAAGCAAGGCUCUAUGUCUGUUUACGAGUACAACAAGAUGUUUCAGAAGCUCGCCCGUUUUGCUAAGCAAGACGUCCCUCACGAGAAGAGCAUGAUAUACCAGUUCAGGGGUGGUCUCAGAGAAGAAAUCCAGCUAGCUCUCGUUCUCUUUGAGCCCAAGAGGUACGAUGAGUUUUACAACAUGGCAAUGAAGCAAGAUACUGCUCAACUGAAGUGCGAUGCUUCCAAGAAGCGAGUCAGAGAUGCUACUCCUUCUUCCUCAACUCAAGUGGCUAAGCAGCAGAAGUUUUGGCUUCCUCCUCCUCUGUUCCGUCAGCCUUAUCAGCAGAAGAGCAAAGGUGGCAGUGGAUCUUCCCACCCACCCAACCCUGGCUUUCAGAACAAGACUUCGUCUCAAGCUCCAAGAUCAAGUGCUCCGUAUCACCGUCCACUUUCAUAGGUCACGUGCAACAAGUGCCAACAGAAGGGUCACUAUGCCAACAAAUGCUUCAAUCAGAGGCGUCUCCCUCCUCCUCCUCCUCCUCCUGUGAGAUCAACAAGUAUAGCUAUGGUCAAGCAUAACCCCAAGUACGCCAAGGUCAACAUGGUGAAUGCAGCUCAGGCAGAGGACUCGUCAAAUGUCAUCAUGGGUAACCUUCCUGUUAAUGAUAUUCCUACAAGAGUUCUUUUUAACACUGGUGCAUUGCAUUGUUUCAUGUCGAGACCUUUUGCAUCUAAGCAUGAUUUUGUUACUCAAGUGUUGCCGAAACCGUUGGCUAUUGUCUCUCCGGCCCGUCAAAUGACAUCUCGAGUAUGCGUUCCGGAUGUUUCAAUCACAUUGGGUGACUAUAAGUUCUUGUCCUCUCCAAAUGUUCUUGGUGACUCAGAUGUUGAUCUUAUUCUUGGAAUGGACUGGCUUUCUAAGCACAAGGCUCAGCUUGAUUGUGCAGCCAGGUAGAUUCAAUUGACUCAUUCGUCUGAGGAUGUUAUUGUCUUUGCCGCUCGUGAUGAUACAAUCCGUCUGUUUUCUCUCAAUGAGAAGGGUGAACUGGAUGCCAUCUCUCAAAUUCCAGUCGUUUGCGAAUAUCAAGAUGUCUUUCUAGAAGAGCUUCCAGGAAUGUCUCCGCACCGGCCAGUUGAAUUCGUCAUCGAUCUUGAGCCUGGCACGGAACCGGUUUGCAAACAUCCUUACAAGCUUGGACCUGAAGAAUUGAAGGAGCUGAAGAAGCAACUCGAUAUUCAAGAGCGAAUGGGUCUCAUCCGACCUAGUUCUUCUCUGUGGGGUUGUGGAGUUCUUUUUGUGAAGAAGAAGGAUGGAACGGACCGACUUUGUAUUGACUACCGUCCAUUGAACAAGAAGACUAUAAAGAACAAGUACCCACUUCCCAACAUCAAUGAGCUGUUCGAACAACUCAAAGGUGCUCAAGUAUUCUCCAAGCUUGAUCUCCGUAUGGGCUAUCACCAGAUUCGAAUCCGCGAGCAAGAUAUUCCCAAGACGGCUUUCAGAACAAGCUAUGGUUCAUAUGAAUACACUGUCAUGUCUUUUGGUCUUGUCAACGCUCCACCGACUUUCUCUCGCAUGAUGAACUUCAUCUUCAACGCCUACACAAAUGACUUUGUCUUGGUCUACCUCGAUGACAUUCUGGUCUUUUCAAGAACAAGGAAGAUCAUGCCAAGCACUUGCGUUUGGUGCUCGAUAAGCUCAGAGAACAUCAGUUCUAUGCCAAGUUCUCAAAGUGCUAGUUUUGGCUCGAUGAGGUUCUCUAUCUUGGGCAUAUCAUCUCUGCCAAGGGCAUUGCGGUGAAUCCUGAGAAGGUGUCUGCAAUUGUUAAUUGGGAAUCACCUCAGAACGUGAAGCAACUCCGCAGCUUCCUUGGUCUCGCAAGCUACUGUCGAAGGUUCGUUGGGAACUUUUCAAAGAUCGUGAAGCCUCUUCCAAACCUUCUCCAGAAGCACGUCAAGUACAUUUGGUCUCCAGAAUGUGACAUCGCUUUCAACACUUUGAAAGAGAAAUUAGUCACUGCUCCAGUUCUGACUCCUCCUGAUGAAUCCAAACCGUUCGAGGUCUUCUGCGAUGCCUCCCUUCAAGGUCUUGGUGCAGUGUUGAUGCAAGAGAAGAAAGUUGUGGCUUAUACCUCUCGCCAGUUGAAGCCCAACAAGAAGAACUACCCCACUCAUGACCUCGAGUUGGCGGUAGUUGUGCAUGCUCUUUUGUCUUGGAGACAUCUCUUAUUGGGAACAAAAGUGGACAUCUUCACUGACCACAAGAGUCUCAAGUACAUCUUCACUCAGCCUAACCUCAACCUCAGGCAAACUCGUUGGGUUGAAAUGAUUCAAGAGUAUAAUCCGAGUAUUGAAUAUACUCCAGGCAUGGCCAAUGUGAUUGCUGACGCUUUGAGCAGGAAGGCUUACUGCAACUGUCUGAUUCUCAAGCCUUACCAACCCGAGCUUUGUGAAGCUUUCCGCAAACUUAAUUUGCAAGUUGUUCCUCAAGGUUUCCUCGCCAACAUUCAAGUAUCUCCUACUUUGGAAGAUCAGAUUCGUGAGGCUCAACUUCUUGAUGCUAUGGUGAAGAAGGUGAAGAUUGGGAUUGCCAAGAGUCAACCCAAGUACAAGUGCUAUCGCCUUGAUGACAAGGAUACUCUCUUCUUCAAGGAUCGCAUUGUUGUGCCUAAAUGUGACCUUCGUAAAGUCAUUAUGAACGAGGCUCACAAUUCACUCCUCUCUAUCCACCCUGGGAGUAUGAAGAUGUAUCAGGACCUCAAGCAGGCUUAUUGGUGGACUCGAAUGAAGCACGAGAUUGCUCAGUUCGUGAAUGAAUGUGAUGUCUGCAAAAGAGUGAAUGAAGAACACCAACGACGAGCUGGUCUCCUCCAACCUCUUGCCAUUCCAGAAUGGAAGUUUGACCACAUUGAGAUGGACUUCGUGACUGGGUUUCCAAAGUCCAAGCGUGGCAAUGAUGCUAUAUUCGUUGUCAUCGACAAACUCACUAAAGUGGCUUACUUUCUGCCUAUCAAAGAGUCUAUCACUGCAGCUCAAUUGGUGGAGCUUUAUACCUCUCAGAUUGUCUCUCUGCACGGCAUUCCAUAGUUGAUCUCUUUAGACUAUGGCAGCAUCUUUACCUCCAAGUUUUGGGAUUCUUUUCAGAAGGCCAUGGGCACCAACAUCCGCUUCAGCACAACUUUUCAUCCUCAAACUAGCGGUCAAGUCGAGCGUGUCAAUCAGAUUCUCGAAGAUAUGCUCAGGGCUUGCGUUAUCACUUUCGGUAUGAAGUGGGAAGAUUGUCUUCCAUAUGCCGAGUUCUCCUACAACAACAGUUUUCAAGCAAGUUCGGGCAAGGCCCCAUUCGAAAUUCUCUAUGGAAGGAAGUGUCGUACUCCUCUUAACUGGUCAGAGACCGGUGAACGUCAACUUCUCGGAAAUGACUUGAUCACAGAGGUAGAGGAAAUGUGCGAAGUCAUUCGUGAUAACCUCAAAGCAGCGCAAUCGCGCCAGAAGAGCUACUAUGAUAGUAAGCAUCGUGAUUUGUCUUUCGAGAUCGGAGACCAUGUUUACCUCCGCGUCUCUCCAAUGAAAGGUACUCAUUGCUUCGGUAUCAAAGGGAAGCUUGCCCCUGGAUACGUGGGUCCUUUCAAGAUCGUCAGCAAGAGAGGCGAUCUCACCUAUCAACUCGAGCUUCCUCCAAACUUUGCAAAUGUGCACGACGUGUUCCAUGUCUCUCAGCUCCGCAAGUGCUUCAAGACCCCUGACCGCACCGUCAACUUCGAAGACAUUGAUCUCCAAAAAGACCUCUCUUAUCGUGAGCACCCAGUUGCUAUUCUUGAAGAAACUGAACGCAAGACUCGCAAUAAGUCAAUCAAAUUCCUCAAAGUCAAGUGGUCACACCAUUCCGACCGUGAAGCCACCUGGGAACGCGAGGAUCACCUCCGUUCUGAGUACCCAACAUUUUUCGUGUCCUAGAUCUUGGGACGAGAUCCUUUCGUAGUGGUGGAGUGUUGUAACACCCCGGAUGUAAUUUACCUUAUAUGUAUCCUAACUCUUGCCGUUUCCGGCGCUAAGUUAUUUUAUUUUCCUCGGGUUCGGGUUUUUGUCUCCGUGUGUUGUUGCCGUUGUCAUGCAUCUCAUAUCAUGUCAUCAUGUGCAUUGCAUUCGCAUACGUGUUCGUCUCAUGCAUCCGAGCAUUUUUCCCGUUGUCCGUUUUGCAUUCCGGCGCUCCUAUCUCCUCCGGUGGUCCUUUCUACCUCUUUUCGUGUGUGGGGGUUAAACAUUUCCGGAUUGGACCGAGACUUGCCAUGCGUCCUUGGUUUACUACCGGUAGACCGCCUGUCAAGUUUCGUACCAUUUGGACUUCGUUUGAUACUCCAACGGUUAACCGAGGGACCAAGAAGGCCUCGUUUGUGUUGCAGCCCAACACCCUUCCAAUUUGGCCCAAGACCCACCAAAACCCUCUCCAUCAUCUAGAGCGUUCGAUCACGAUCGUGUGGCCGAAAACCGCACCUCAUUUGGAGCUUCCUAGCUCCCUCUACCUCUAUAUAUAGAUCCCUUCCCCGAGAUCCGGACGAAACCCUAGACCCCUCCCUCUCCACGCGCCGCCGGACAAAAUCCGGACGGCCGGACACGUCCGCCCACUCCGCCGGACGAAUCAGCGGCUGCCACCUAUCCCGCGGGCGAGCCCCACUUCGCUGCCGCCGCGCGGGCCCGCCAGGCCUAGCGCCGGCCCUCCCCACCGCCGUCCGNNNNNNNNNNNNNNNNNNNNNNNNNNNNNNNNNNNNNNNNNNNNNNNNNNNNNNNNNNNNNNNNNNNNNNNNNNNNNNNNNNNNNNNNNNNNNNNNNNNNNNNNNNNNNNNNNNNNNNNNNNNNNNNNNNNNNNNNNNNNNNNNNNNNNNNNNNNNNNNNNNNNNNNNNNNNNNNNNNNNNNNNNNNNNNNNNNNNNNNNNNNNNNNNNNNNNNNNNNNNNNNNNNNNNNNNNNNNNNNNNNNNNNNNNNNNNNNNNNNNNNNNNNNNNNNNNNNNNNNNNNNNNNNNNNNNNNNNNNNNNNNNNNNNNNNNNNNNNNNNNNNNNNNNNNNNNNNNNNNNNNNNNNNNNNNNNNNNNNNNNNNNNNNNNNNNNNNNNNNNNNNNNNNNNNNNNNNNNNNNNNNNNNNNNNNNNNNNNNNNNNNNNNNNNNNNNNNNNNNNNNNNNNNNNNNNNNNNNNNNNNNNNNNNNNNNNNNNNNNNNNNNNNNNNNNNNNNNNNNNNNNNNNNNNNNNNNNNNNNNNNNNNNNNNNNNNNNNNNNNNNNNNNNNNNNNNNNNNNNNNNNNNNNNNNNCGACCCCGCAACUCCGGCCGACGCCCUUGGCCCCUCCGUCCUCUUCCUCGCAGCCCCGGCCGGCCCAAGCUCCGGCGACUCGAGCUCCAACUCCGGUCGGCGAUCAUCGGUUUCCGUGCAGCUAUAGUACCUCGAUCCGAUCUGGAUCUAGAUCUCUCGGUUGACUUUUCCCUUAGAAACCCUAGUUUUUUUGCGUUUUUCAUCAUGCCGUAACUCCGCAUCCGUAGAUCCGAUUUGCGCGUGUAGCAUAUCAAAAUGUUCACCUCAGAGAGUAGAUCAUUUCAUAUCAUUGCACCAUUUUCAUUUGAGCUCAUAUUGAUGCCCGAAAUGAUGUUGGAAGAGGGCUAUAUGAUAUAAUUGUGAGAUCUGUUUCAUCAAAUAGCUAUUUGUCAUUUUUGCCAUGAUUAAUAUGUGCAUGAUAUGCUCCUGAGCUCUACAUGAGUUUUCUUAUAUGCCAUGCCAUCUUUACAGAGGUGCUUACCAUGUUUUUUGUGAUAUGUGUGGUGACUAGCACAAGCUUGUAAAGUAGUGCAUUCGUUAAUGCUGAUUCCAGGGACUUGGAAUUUCUCUAAGUCCUUGUCCUGAUUUUGUCAUUAUGCCAUAUGUUCAUGUUGUUUCCUAGUGAUCCGUGCCUCUUUUGAGGAUGAUCUGUAAGGUUGUUUUGUUAACCUUGUGGUGCUCUAUCCGUCCAUGUCUUUGUUUACAUUUAUGGAGCACCCUAGCUUGAGUCAAUCGAGCUCUACUUUUGCCAUUUCGUGAAUCCUGGCAGAUUGUUGACUUGUUAGCAAUUUUGCCAAGGAUGUUGUUAUUGAUCCGUGCAUGCUAUGUUGUUGUUCUUGCCAUGUCUAGUUUCUAUGAUAUGUAUUCUUGAUGGGUGUAUGCUUAGUUGGUCAUGCAAUGCUCUGUAAUGAGUGCAUCGAGCUCGUGAACAUGCCUACUCGUUAACAGAUUUGCAUGCUCCAGUUUUUCACGAAGUCUGUAAUCUGAUUAUGUUUUUGCCAUGUUCACAUGCUUGCAAUUGUAUUUUCUGAUCCAUUUUGGCUCAAGGUCACUAAGGGACUUUUGUUAAGUGCUUUGAGUAGCUUCAUGUCAUGCCUUGAUUUGCCAUGUUAAGUUCCUGUAGCAUAUUGUUUUCAUGCUCCAAAGUGUGCUACCUGAUGUUAAAUUCCAGACUUGUGUUAAUUUCACUAAGUCUGGAACCUGUUAUCAUUUGCAUUUUUUCCAUGCUUGUUUGAACCUGUUAAUGGAUGGAUUGGCCAUAGCUCUGUGUUCAUCUUUUGUCAAGCAUCAUGAGUGGAUCCCUGCCAUGUAUUUUUUUUGUCAUGUUUGAGUGUUGUAGCAUAUUUAUCUUGAUGCAUUUAGAUGGCUACUUGCUGUUUAUCGCAGAUCGGUGCCAUAUUUGUUUUGCUUGCCUUUUCCAAACCGUGCAUCCGAUUCCGGUGAUCUUUAUAUCGAUUUCAACCGAAAUCACCUCACCUUUCCAGUGGCACUCUUGGAUUUCCAAGUUGAGGCCAGGUUCAAUCAUUCCUUGUCAAAUCUUGCAUAUGCAUCACAUAUCACAUCCCGCAUAGCAUACCAUGUUAGCAUCUUGUUUGUUCGAGCAUUACACGUGAUUGAUUGUGUUCCCUUUGCUUGUUUGUCUUGUUUGGGUAGAGCCAGGAUACGAGUGCGCUAACGAGAAGCCCGUUGAGUUUGCUUACGAGGAUCAAGUCAACUCUGACAACUUUGCAGGCAAGAUGAUCAUACCCUCGAAAACACUUCUAUAUUUGAUUGCUAGAUGCUCGCUCUUUUGCUAUGCCUAUGCUAUGAUACCUACCACUUGCUUUCAUGCCUCCCAAAUUGCCAUGUCAAACCUCUAACCCACCAUGUCCUAGCAAACCGUUGAUUGGCUAUAUUACCGCUUUGCUCAGCCCCCCUUAUAGCGUUGCUAGUUGCAGGUGAAGAUUGGAGACCGUUCCUUGUUGGAACAUUGUUUAUUGUUGGGAUAUCACUAUAUUAUCUUGUUAUCUUAAUGCAUCUAUAUACUUGGUAAAGGGUGGAAGGCUCGACCUUUUGCCUAGUGUUUUGUUCCACUCUUGCCGCCCUAGUUUCCGUCAUUUCGGUGUUAUGUUCCCAGAUUUUUGUGUUCCUUACGCGGUUGGGUUAUAAUGGGAACCCCUUGACAGUUCGCCUUGCAUAAAACUCCUCCAGCAAUGCCCAACCUUGGUUUUACCAUUUUCCGUCUAGCCUCUUUUUCCCUUGGGUUUCCGGAGCCCAAGGGUCAUCUUUAUUUAAACCCCCCCGGGCCAGUGAUCCUCUGAGUGUUGGUCCAUACUAGAGCCCCUUGCAGCGCCACCUCAGGGAAACUCGAGGGCUAGUUUUAGUUGUAUGGAUUGCUUAUCCGAGUGUGCCCUGAGAACGAGAUAUGUGCAGCUCCUAUCGGGAUUUGUGGGUACAUUCGGGCGGUGUUGCUGGACUUGCUUUACCAAUGUCAAGGAUGUCUUGUAGAACCGGGAUGCCGAGUCUGAUCGGAAUGUCUCGGGAGAAGGAAUAUCCUUCAUUGACCAUGAGAGCUUGUGAUGGGCUAAGUUGGGACUCCCCUGCAGGGAUUUGAACUUUCGAAAGCUGUGCCCGUGGUUAUGGGCAGAUGGGAAUUUGUUAAUGUCCGGUUGUAGGUAACCUGAAAUUUAACUUAAUUAAAAUGAAUCAACCGCGUGUGUUACCGUGAUGGUCUCUUCUCGGCGGAGUCCGGGAAGUGAACACGGUGUUGGAGUAAUGUUUGACGUAGGUUGUUAUAGGAUCACUUCUUGAUCAUAGUUCUUCGUUUGUGCUUUGCCUUCUCUUCUCGCUCUCUUUUGCGAACAGGUUAGCCACCAUAUAUGCCAGUCGCUUGCUGCAGCUCCACAUAUUACCUUGCCUUACCUAUAAGCUUAAAUAGUCUUGAUCGCGAGGGUGCGAGAUUGCUGAGUCCCCGUGACUCACAGAUUACUUCCAAACCAAAUGCAGGGACUGAUGAUACUGUUCCAGAUGAUGCGCUUGAGCUCAAGUGGGAGUUCGACGAAGACUCUCGCCGUUACUAUGUGUCUUUCCCUGAUGAUCAGUAGUGGUGCCCAUUUGGGGCGAUCGGGACCGUGUCGCAUGUUGGGGUUGAUCUUUUAUUUUGGUACCGUAGUCGGACCAUGAGUGUAUUGGAUGAUUGUAAUGUUAUUGAUGUAUUUAUGUGACGUGGCGAGUGUAAGCCAACUAUGUACCUUUUCCCCCUAUUAUCUAUUUACAUGGGUUGUUGUGAAGAUUACCUUACUUGCAACAUUGCUUUCAAUGCGGUUAUGCCUCUAAGUCGUGCUUCGACACGUAGGAGAUAUAGCCGCAUCGAGGGUGUUACACCUAACUCUUGUUUCCCCACACAUACGGACUCUAAAAACAGCCUAUACUUAAGUAUUUCGAAAAUACAUGGGCCUGACCCAAUAAUAAGGUGACGCAGCACCUAGAAUACCCUCUAGAUGAAAUUUAUGAAGUGGCAUCUUGUAUAUUUCAUCCAAGGCUUCAUGCCCUCCUUAUGGUGGCUUCAAAGUCCUGAAAUUAUUACUUGUAACUCCGUUCUGGAUCCCCUUGCGCAUGCCAUCAUCUCCAUGCUUGGUCUUGCUCCAGUGUUCAUCCCUCUUAUCCAUGCCAGGCCCUUCAUUUGUAAGCAAAACAAAUGUAUCCAAUUUAGGUAGCAUCAUAUUCUCAUGAACAUCAGAAUCAUUACCAAGAAACGGAAGUACCUGAUAAUUUAAUUGGCGUGCGCGAGCUCUAGUAAUUGGUCCAGUAUGUAUAGCAGCAGGGGUUGUGGGUGUAACAAUGGUAUUGAUGUCCUCGUCAUCCUCCCCUUCUUGAAAUGAAGUCGUCCUCGACGAAAGCUCAUCUUCCUCACUCAAAUAAGGCUUUGAAUCUGCAAUGUUAAAAGUGGGACUAACCCCAAAAUCUGCAGGCAGGUCAAGUUUAUAUGCAUUAUCAUUUAUUUUCUCUAACACCUUAAAAGGACCAUCAACACGUGGCAUUAUCUUUAAUUUGCACAAAUUAGGAAAUCUAUCCUUACGCAAAUGUAACCAAACAAGAUCUCGAGGUGCAAACACAACAUGUUUUCUACCCUUAUCUCCAGCAAGUUUAUAUUUAGCAUUCAUACGCUCAAUGUUUCCCUUAGUUAACCCAUGCAUUUUUAAAAUCAAUUCAACACGUUCUUUAGCAUCAAAAUUAACCUUCUCCGAAGAUGGAAGAGGCAACAAAUCAAUAGGUGCACGAGGUAGGAAACCGUACACAAUUUCAAAAGGGCACAUCUUAGUAGUAGAAUGCAAUGAACGAUUAUAAGCAAAUUCAAUAUGAGGCAAGCAUUCUUCCCACAUUUUCUUGUUAUUCUUCAAAACAGCCCUAAGCAUAGUAGACAAUGUUCUAUUGACUACUUCAGUUUAUCCAUCAGUUUGAGGGUGACAAGUAGUACUAAAAAGCAGUUUAGUCCCCAACUUAGUCCAUAAACAUUUCUAAAAGUGGCUAAGAAAUUUAGUAUCAUGAUCUGAAACAAUAGUAUUUGGCACACCAUGCAAGCGAAUAAUUUCACGAAAGAACAAAUCAGCAACAUUAAUAGCAUCAUUGCUUUUAUCACAUGGUAUAAAGUGUGCCAUUUUCGAGAACCUAUCAACGACAAAAAAUAUGCUAUCCCUCCCCUUCUUUGUUCGAGGUAAACCUAAAACAAAGUCCAUAGAUAUAUCCUCCCAAGGAACACUAGGUAUAGGCAAAUGCAUAUAUAAACCAUGAGGAUUGAGUCGUGACUUAGCUUUUUGACAUGUAGUGAAGCGAGCAACAAAACGCUCAACAUCACGUCUCAUCUUUGGCCAAAAGAAAUGUGUAGCAAGUAUAUCCUCCGUCAUCUUGAAGCCAAAGUGUCCCACUAAUCCUCUUCCAUGCGCCUCCUGCAACAACAAAAGAUGAACGGAGCUAGCUGGAAUGCGUAGCUUGUUAGCACGAAACACAAAUCCAUCGUUAAGAACGAACUUGUUCCAAGUUCUCCCUUCCUUACAAUUCUGCAAUACAUCUUUAAAUUCAACAUCAUGCACAUAUUGAUCUUUGAUGGUCUCCAAACCAAAUAUUUUAAAGUCAAGUUGUGAAAGCAUAGCAUAACGACGAGACAAAGUGUCAGGACCCCGAUUCCAAGUCACAUCGAUCUAGCAUGUAACACCUCAUAUCACUUUGCGGCCUCACGCACGGUAUUCCCGCGAGUGUCGCCUUAUUAUGGCCCGGGACCAUUUGCGUCUUCUGGCUCACGUAUAUGAUAGUGUCGCUAGCAUCCAUAUGACAGGGAACCCAGGGAAAAUGGACUAGGUCGCACAAUAAAUCUUAGGAUGAUGAUUCAAUAACCAACACACAAAGAAUAAAAUUAUUGUCCAUUAACUACCAAGCAACAGAGUUGCUAGGAGUAUUGAUUUCACACAUCAUAGUUCACUUGUCAGCAUUCUGGUUACAGCUAACACGGAAACCGAGGAAUGAACAAUGAUGGCAAGAAGUAUCACUGCAACAAGAAUUCAUAAGAGAUGGUGCAAAUCUCAUGAUAUUCCUGACAUAAAGUGGAUAAUACUUCAGGGUAGAACAGACCAAUAGCUUGAUUGCAUUUGAUCUGCGAAAUACAACUGCUUUGACCCAUCCUAGAAAUGGAUGAGGUACUGGAGUUUGUUUCUCCUAGUCAUUCCAGAAUAGAAUGGCUUGACAGACCAUAAGAAUAAGAGGUAUCGAUGAGCAUGAAUGCAAGACAUGCUCUUAACUAUCAAAUGAUAGACGGAGAUCAUGAUACAACUAAAGAGGGACAACUCAAGGAACAUAUAUCUUUCUGAGUUGUAGAUGCAUAGAUUAGUAUGUCGAGCAAAGCUCAACAUUCCUUCCGGAUAACCCAUGUAGAAAGGUAGAACUGGCAGAGUCACAACAUAGAAUGGAGACCUCAUCAAGAGCACUCUUGUUGUGAUCAUUGGUUCAAAGAUCUUCUGCCAUAAUGGUUCAUGGUAUUUGGAAGAAGGAAAUACCACAGACCUCGAGGACUAUCGCAAAGGUUACUAAUAUCCUAAAGGUACGAGCAACACUAUCAACACGAGGUAAGUAGAGUGGAUCUUGGGUCAGGAACACAGGAGUGGAAUACCUACUACUAGAUGGCAUCACGAGAUGCUUUCGAGAAUAAUGGCUAGAAUCAUCACACUAUAAAUACAAAACAUGGCUAGGUUACUAGAUGAUCCCCUAGGACACCUAGGGUCAUAAUAAUAAUUCCAACAUAUAUGUCGAGGCAAUAGAAUACCUCAACUCAGCAAUUAGUGUGGUCAAACUGGCCCAAAGAAACAUCGGGAACGGAAAGAAGGGAUUUGCAAAUGCAUCAGACUAUUUUAGAAACCUGGGAUGACUCGGACAGCAUAACAGCUGUAAAUGCUCAAAAUGAUUUGAGACAUCUUGCAAAAAUGGUGGCAUAACCACUCAACAUCACCAUAUCAAGGUUCUGAGGCCAACAAUGAACAUAUGGAAGUAGUAGGAACUUAAUUGAGGUUUGAACUCAACAAUCCUAGGCAACUAUGGUUUAGUAACACGUCAUCCUGAGAGAUAGAAGAGAAGCCUAGUUCUUAACCCCGUAGAAAAGAUAAGAUGACUCAGAUCAGAAGGUCAUGAGGAUAAGGAGUAAAAAGAGCCUUACGUUCCCAUCCACAAUCAAUUCCCUUAUAUAACUAAAGCAUUUCUAGACACGACUUCGACCAGCUUGGCUUGGUAAUCCUACAGGAAGUCAGGCUCUGAUACCAAAGCUGUCAGGACCCCGAUUCCAAGUCACAUCGAUCUAGCAUGUAACACCUCAUAUCGCUUUGCGGCCUCACUCACGGUAUUCCCACGGGUGUCGCCUUACUAUGGCCCGGGACCGUUUGCGUCUUUUGGCUCACGUAUAUGAUAGUGUCGCUAGAAUCCAUAUGACAGAGAACCCGGGCCGACAUGGCUAGUCGUGAACCCAAAGCGGCACCAACCUAUGGGGACAGGCAUACAUGUAUCACAUCGAGCAUGUCGGUCAGCAGCGUGUGAAUCCGGGCUGUAGCACUGGGCUAACAGGACUCCGGAAACCCGGGCUGUAGCAGGCUAGGCAGGACUCCGGAUGUCACCGCGUGACAUUUCCCCGAAGGGACAGACACAGGAGCAAAGAGAAACACAUGCCGGCCAGUCAAGUGUCCUGAGCAGUAGUGCUGGGCUAGCAGGACUCUGGUGAACCGGGCUAUAGCGGACUACUAUGGAUCAUGGAAGCACAAGACUAAAUUUCCCCAUAAGAGAGGCUACCAAGGAUAAACAACUAGGUUGUCGGAUCCCACACAUACCAAGCAUUUCAAUCAUACACACAAUAUGCUCGAUAUGUGUAAAUACAACAUGGCAUCACAACAUAACUCUAUGACUCAAGUAUUUAUUCAUUAGGCUCCGAAGAGCGAGAUAAUACAAACAUGGGUCUCAUGACCCAACAUUCAGAGCAUACAAGUCAAAGCACAUGCGGAAGCUUAACUUGUCUGAGUACAGACAACUAAAAAUGAAGAAGGCUGAGGAGCCUGACUAUCUACCAGACCCUCCCAAGGGUACAAGAUCGUAGCUGAGGUAACAAGCUAAACGUCCAAGCCCACAUGGACGUAUUAGCGAGAUUGAAGUCUCUCUGCAAAACAUAAAAUAAGCAAACGUGAGUACAAAUGUACCUAGCAAGACUUACAUCAGAACUAACUACAUAUGCAUCGGUAUCAACAAAGAGGGUGGUGGAGUUUAAUUGCAGCAAGCCAGCUUUGACUCAGUGGCUAACCUGAACUACGAUUGCAAGUAACUCUUUUGAGGUGGCGCACACGAGUCCACAAAUUCACCAUACCAAUACACCACUAUGGAUCCGCUCCCGUCUCCCUGCGAGAACGCCAUCCAUAUCACUCACACUUAUCUUGCGAGUUUUAGAGUAUCCACUUUCACUUGUCUAUGAACUAUGCAAGGGGUCCAAGUUUCCAUAUCCGAGGAAUCCGGCUAUUCGAAUAGAUAAUGAGAACCCUGCAGGGGUGUACUUCUUCACACACGCUCUCGCCACUUAUCGCCCUGUACACGCCAUGUACCUCGGCAACCUUCAAGCGGAAGCCGGGCGAGGGAGUCGGCCACGACCUGACUAACCAACAAGUCUCUAGUCCAGGUUUAUUGCCUAUUCGGGUUCCAUCCGCAAGGAGAUCCGGCCGGGGUGUCGCUCACGGCCCCAAACGAUGUGUGCAGGGUUCCCAAGCCCACCAUCCGGGUGCCACUUGGUACACCGUGCCACUGUGCCUAGCCUGCCCCAAGCCCACUUGUACCGGGUGCCACUUGGUAGACUACUAACACUACCUACAAACACCAGAAAAUAGUUGCAACUCUUGGACAUAGAUCGAGUUGUUUAAUAAGCUGAGAGGGGCCGAGUUACCGGAACCCAAUGUGUGGUAGUAACUGUUCAUGGAUCACAAACACAGAACUCAGUUCCCGAGAACGGCUGCAAUGAGACAACCCACCAUGUACUCCUACAUGGCCUCUGACACGCUACCUUUACCAAAUCGUGUUCACACACUUAGCUCUCAACGGUAGGACAUGUUCACCACGUUCCAAUUCAUUCCCGAUGAAUCAAGCCGGACUCAACUCUAAGUAGUAGCAGGCAUGACAACAAGAAUGAAUGAGUAGGCACAUUAGGGCUCAAACAACUCCUACUCAUGCUAGUGGGUUUCAUCUAUUUACUGUGGCAAUGACAGGUCAUGCAGAGGAAAGGGGUUCAACUACCGCAACAUGUAACCGUUGAAUCGGUGUUGUCCUAAUGCAGUAAAAGAGAGCAGGAGCGAGAGAGUGGGAUUGUAUCGGAAUGAACAAGGGGGUUUUGCUUGCCUGGCACUUAUGAAGAUAUUAUAGCUCUUCAUCGGUGUCAUCGAUCACGUCGUCGGAACCACGUCUAUCGAGAGGGAACAAACACCGGCAACUGAGAAAGAACACAAUCAAUGUGAUGCCACAAUAUGAUGCAUGAUCAUGACAUGGCAAUAUGCUGUGAUUUGAGCUAAUGCAUCUAGCUAUGAUUUAAAUGAAGUUGGUUUGAAUACAUGAUUCAAAUUCCAACCCCAUAUAUGAUUAUUUGAAUGCCCUUUAUUUGUUUUGUCCAAAACAGAGGACAAACAUUGUUCAAACAUGCAUGAAAAUUGUACAGAUGGAUUUCUUGAAUUUUUCUGAUAAUUUUUCAUAUAUAAUUUAUUUCAUUUGGAGUUACGGUUGAUUUUCUAUGAUUUUUAGAAGUUAGAAGUAUUUUCUGAAAUUCAUAAAUCCUUUUCUGAUUUAUUCUAAUUUCCAAAAAACAGUAACAACGUCAGCAUGAUGUCAGGAUGACAUCAGCGGUCAACAGACCUGGUCCUGGUCAAACUUGAUCCUGGGGGCCCGCAUGUCAUAGACUCAGUGUUAAGUGGAUAUUAAACCGGGGCUAAAUAUCUGCGGGGNNNNNNNNNNNNNNNNNNNNNNNNNNNNNNNNNNNNNNNNNNNNNNNNNNNNNNNNNNNNNNNNNNNNNNNNNNNNNNNNNNNNNNNNNNNNNNNNNNNNNNNNNNNNNNNNNNNNNNNNNNNNNNNNNNNNNNNNNNNNNNNNNNNNNNNNNNNNNNNNNNNNNNNNNNNNNNNNNNNNNNNNNNNNNNNNNNNNNNNNNNNNNNNNNNNNNNNNNNNNNNNNNNNNNNNNNNNNNNNNNNNNNNNNNNNNNNNNNNNNNNNNNNNNNNNNNNNNNNNNNNNNNNNNNNNNNNNNNNNNNNNNNNNNNNNNNNNNNNNNNNNNNNGGGGGCUAAUUAAGCACAUGCUUAACUCUAAACUAAUGACACCAUGUCAUCUAAAUGGUGAUUAGUCGCCGGUGCUAAGCGAGACGCAGCGGUGCUCCCCGUCCGGCCAUCUCCGGCGAUGAGAGCAAGCGUAGCUGGGCUCUAUGUACUCAGGGCGACGCGACGCAUCGAGUGGUGGAUGCGGCAGGUGUGGAGGCUGGCUUUAGCGACGGUGACGACGAGCUUUGGCAGAGGCCGGAGCUCGGGUUCGGUCGCGCGCGAGGCUGCGGCGCGUUAGCCAGAGCGCAGAGGGGCGCAUCAGGAUCCUGGGGACCCGGCGAGCACGCGGGAGCUACUAGAGCGAGCGGAAGAGCUCCGGGGCGCGAGGUUUUUCGUCCAUGGCGAUAGCCGGAGCUCGGUGCUUGCGGGGAUGACGGCUACGGCGCGGGAACGAGCAGGAGAGGAGGGGGAAAACGAAGGAGUCCUCACAGCGAAGUCGUUGAGCAUCUCAGACGGCUUGGGGACGGCUUGGCGACGGUGAAUCGGAGCCGGCGAUAUUCGGUGCCCGUCAGUGAAGACGACGACGAUGGCGUUACUGUAGGGCUCCCGGCAUCAUGUGCGUUGACGAAGACGACGUACACGACGAGUGCGGAGCUUCAGACAAGUGGGGAGGCGAGGGGAGGCCACUAGGCACGGCGGCGGUGAGCUGCGUGCUGCGGGUGUGCUCGGGCGGCUGCGGAGAGAGAGCCAGAGCGGUGGGGAGAGGCCAGAGAGGCGGGGGAGUGGGCGAGGGGGUGCUGGGCGUCUCCAGGCACGGACUAGGACGAAGGAGCGGCCUCCAGUGCGAAGCAGGAGGUGGAAGGCUCCGCGGGUGCGCGCGCGUGUUCGCUCCUGCCUACUGGCAGGAGGAAGACAACGAGCGAGGAGGUAAGUGGGCUGGGCCGGCUUCUCUCCUGGGCCAGGUGGGUAGGCUGCUCAGGUGAGCUCCUGUUUCCUUUUUGUUUCUGUUGUUUUUUUAUUUAAUCUUUUGCCACUGUUUCAAAAUUCAAAAUGAAUUCAAAACAGUGCCAAAACACUCUGAAAUAUUUUAUGUUACCUCUCUGGACUAUUCCAAAAGUACAUAAAACAUUUCAAAGCAUUUGAAAAUAUAUUCAUUAUAUAUUAUGAAUAUAUCCCCAAAUUCAAAUAGAUUAUUGAUUUAAAUUCAGAGACCAAAUAAUUCCUUAAAAAUUUCCUAGAAUUUUGGUUUGAUAUAUAACUCUUGCCAAAAUUCGCAAAACUAUUUUUAGGGCAUUUUGGAUUCACAGAAUGCUAUUUAAAGGGUUCUUGCCCUUCUUUUAAAAUAAUUUAUGAGGCUUUGAAUAUUCCUCAUUUCAAUUUCUUGAAUUAAACAUGAUGCAUGCUCACUGAUGCAACUAUUACACUCAGAUAUUCUAGGGCUGUGACAACUCGCCCCCACUAAACAAGAAUCUCGUCCUGAGAUUCAAGACGUGAGGUAAGAAGACAGAGGGAACACAAAGCUAGCACAAUCUUCAUGAUCCAGGUUGCACUUCAUAAGAACGUUGAUUCGAUCAUCACCUUUGCCUAGACGUCUUGCUCUGAGAACUCCAUCCAACACGAUGAUGACAAAAGGAAAAUCUAUAGGAAUUGAUUUUCUAAAAAAUCAAGCGAUACACGAUAAACUCAUGGAAUGAGACGUUGAUUCAUCUCUUGAUCUAAGAGACAAAGACACAUCAAGAGGGAUGGAGAGAACAAAUAAUGGAAGUUCAAUUUGGUAGGAAACACUCCCACGCUUGAGUAGGAUGGUGCAUAGGUUUCAAGGUAGCGAGGAGUUGAUUACCAUGAUUCCAUAACGGGGCACCUCAAGGGCGACGACUCGUAGAAUUAUUCCCUUAAGUGGCAAAAAGAAUUACUUUUGAUUCGGAGAUCAUUGAAACUCUUUAUACCAGCCUAAGGCAAUCACAAUCGAUCAUUUGAAGGAGUUCAAAAGAAUGACAUACUUGGACUAGAAAGGAUGAUGUGGACUCCCUUGUUGAAGACAACGCAAUGGAUGAUUUUCCUUAUCAUCGGAAAUGGAUGGGACCCAUGGUAAGUCCACUUUUGAAGAUGAUCCUGAACAACAACUACGGAGGUGCAAGCUGGGAACAAAAUGCAAAUGUUGGGAAUGAUUCUGGUAACUAGGGAAGAACUCAACAGCCGAGAGUGAGUCCACUGUUUGAAAAGGUUAUAACAUAACCGAGGAAACUGGAAGCAAAUCCCAGUUAACGCCAAUGGUAAAACCUAGUGCUUGCGCGUGCUCUCAAGAACUUGAGCAUCUCCAUAUUUAUCAAGGUUUUACCAAUAUCCGUGUCAAGGAUCCUGGCAACACAACAUACCACCAUGAUGAAUGGUGAUGGAUGAUGCAGAUGCAAAGGAAGAUAACACUUUCUCAGAUUUCACCUUAGCGAGGCCAAGGGAACAAAAUCUGGAUGAUCGACCAAGAGACAUAUAGCACUCCGCUUCCAAUGUUCUCCUUGAUGUGCUAGUGUAUCCCAUUCAUUGAUAUGGUUUGAUAUAUAGAAUAUCAGGUAAAAGGUCGGACUUCGGGAGCACAAGAAUCCGUAAAUAUUAACUACGAAGGUAAACCCUACGAAAUCCUCAUGGGGAGGUGGCCAACUUUCUUCAAUCGAGAUACUACAAUAAUAGGACUUCCGGCUGGAUGUGUUGGCCACGACAUCCACUUUACCGGUUACCGAGGGACCAAUAUUAUAGUUCUUGGAAAAUGCUCCAACCAUCAUAUUUGCCUGAGAUUCAGAUCUGGUUGGUGUCAGGAUAUUCCAGACUCAUCGAGUCUAGAAAGGAAAAUGGAAGUUUGCAACACAAAUCGACGAGACGACGUUGCGAGAUUCUCAGGGAAUGAACUGCGAUAGCAAGCUCCAAAACAUGAGCUGGUUCUGCUACAACAUGUGAACACGUUGUCCUAGACAAGUAUGACCACAUAGUAGUCUUAUAAUAAAACACUACCGAGUUCUGGUGGGGAACCAUCAUCGAGGAUAACAAAGUCCUUGCAUAAGGCAUGCUCUUAAGAAGGAACUUCUUCUCCUAGAACAAAUCAGUCAGUGGCUUGGUGUGCUAGGGACACAUAUGGACUGGAGGUAGUGAGCCUAUCAAACCAUAUAAUACUUUGCACAUGCAUGACUAACUUGGGAUGAUUCCAAAGGAAGCAAAACAAGCUUUCUCAAAUCCACGGCGGCAAAUUGCAUCAUAUACACAUGAAUUAGAGGAAGUCACAUCUUUCAACCGGACAUAUGCUUCAUGAAUGGGACAUGAGGGCAAUGCUUAUAAAGUUUCCAACACUAGUAUAAUGUUCAACAUGAAUCACGGGGGAGACAAAAUGCUGCUGAUGGGCUCAACAGCAACUCAUCAGAAUUUCCAUAUCACUGGACUUCCACCAUCAUGUGAACACGGUGAUAGCAUUGGUCAGACCCAAAGAUAUAAUGGUGUAUGCUCGAGGGAUCAAGCAUGAGUAAGACAACAUUAUGAGCAUCAUUGGUUCUGAUUUGACUUGAGGAUAGCCCACACUCAAAUCAAAGUUUGGACAAGACAAUAGAUCCAACAAUUUAUCACGAUGAUCAAUCAAUGAAGAUAUCAUCUUUCUUCAACUAACACACAAACACAAGGAUAUCCCUUUGGAACGAACUAAGUCAGGCAAGCUUUUAUCUUCCAACUCUCCAAGUUGUUGUUUAGCUUAACCGACUAGCUCAGGGGUAUCCAACACAGAUUCUUGGAGAAAGGGGUGGCUACAAGAAACCAACUUGAUCACAAACUCAACAUAGCGGUCAGGUGACAACCUGGUAACACUUCCGAGAAGAUAUUCGGAAAAUCACUAACCACCGAUAUGUUACUAAGCUCGAGAACAAUCUUGCUUUUUAGGGCAAGAUGAUGUGAUCCAGAGAAUGAUGGAUUAACACAAUCCUAUCUCGUUGAUCGAGGAGUGCACCAGGGAAAAUGGACUAGGUCGCACGAUAAAUCUUAGGAUGAUGAUUCAAUAACCAACACACAAAGAAUAAAAUUAUUGUCCAUUAACUACCAAGCAACAGAGUUGCUAGGAGUAUUGAUUUCACACAUCAUAGUUCACUUGUCAGCAUUCCAGUUACAGCUAACACGGAAACCGAGGAAUGAACAAUGAUGGCAAGAAGUAUCACUGCAACAAGAAUUCAUAAGAGAUGGUGCAAAUCUCAUGAUAUUCCUGACAUAAAGUGGAUAAUACUUCAGGGUAGAACAGACCAAUAGCUUGAUUGCAUUUGAUCUGCGAAAUACAACUGCUUUGACCCAUCCUAGAAAUGGAUGAGGUACUGGAGUUUGUUUCUCCUAGUCAUUCCAGAAUAGAAUGGCUUGACAGACCAUAAGAAUAAGAGGUAUCGAUGAGCAUGAAUGCAAGACAUGCUCUUAACUAUCAAAUGAUAGACGGAGAUCAUGAUACAACUAAAGAGGGACAACUCAAGGAACAUAUAUCUUUCUGAGUUGUAGAUGCAUAGAUUAGUAUGUCGAGCAAAGCUCAACAUUCCUUCCGGAUAACCCAUGUAGAAAGGUAGAACUGGCAGAGUCACAACAUAGAAUGGAGACCUCAUCAAGAGCACUCUUGUUGUGAUCAUUGGUUCAAAGAUCUUCUGCCAUAAUGGUUCAUGGUAUUUGGAAGAAGGAAAUACCACAGACCUCGAGGACUAUCGCAAAGGUUACUAAUAUCCUAAAGGUACGAGCAACACUAUCAACACGAGGUAAGUAGAGUGGAUCUUGGGUCAGGAACACAGGAGUGGAAUACCUACUACUAGAUGGCAUCACGAGAUGCUUUCGAGAAUAAUGGCUAGAAUCAUCACACUAUAAAUACAAAACAUGGCUAGGUUACUAGAUGAUCCCCUAGGACACCUAGGGUCAUAAUAAUAAUUCCAACAUAUAUGUCGAGGCAAUAGAAUACGUCAACUCAGCAAUUAGUGUGGUUAAACUGGCCCAAAGAAACAUCGGGAACGGAAAGAAGGGAUUUGCAAAUGCAUCAGACUAUUUUAGAAACCUGGGAUGACUCGGACAGCAUAACGGCUGUAAAUGCUCAAAAUGAUUUGAGACAUCUUGCAAAAAUGGUGGCAUAACCACUCAACAUCACCAUAUCAAGGUUCUGAGGCCAACAAUGAACAUAUGGAAGUAGUAGGAACUGAAUUGAGGCUUGAACUCAACAAUCCUAGGAAACUAUGGUUUAGUAACACGUCAUCCUGAGAGAUAGAAGAGAAGCCUAGUUCUUAACCCCGUAGAAAAGAUAAGAUGACUCAGAUCAGAAGGUCAUGAGGAUAAGGAGUAAAAAGAGCCUUACGUUCCCAUCCACAAUCAAUUCCCUUAUAUAACUAAAGCAUUUCUAGACAUGACUUCAACCAGCUUGGCUUGGUAAUCCUACAGGCAGUCAGGCUCUGAUACCAAAGCUGUCAGGACCCCGAUUCCAAGUCACAUCGAUCUAGCAUGUAACACCUCAUAUCGCUUUGCGGCCUCACUCACGGUAUUCCCACGGGUGUCGCCUUACUAUGGCCCGGGACCGUUUGCGUCUUUUGUCUCACGUAUAUGAUAGUGUCGCUAAUCCAUAUGACAGAGAACCCGGGCCGACAUGGCUAGUCGUGAACCCAAAGCGGCACCAACCUAUGGGGACAGGCAUACAUGUAUCACAUCGAGCAUGUCGGUCAGCAGCGUGUGAAUCCGGGCUGUAGCACUGGGCUAACAGGACUCCAGAAACUCGGGCUGUAGCAGGCUAGGCAGGACUCCGGAUGUCACCGCGUGACAUUUCCCCGAAGGCACAGACACAGGAACAAAGUGAAACACAUGCCGGCCAGUCAAGUGUCCUAAGCAGUAGUGCUGGGCUAGCAGGACUCUGGUGAACCGGGCUAUAGCGGACUACUAUGGCUAAUGGAAGCACAAGACUACAUUUCCCCAUAAGAGAGGCUACCAAGGAUAAACAACUAGGUUGUCGGAUCCCACACAUACCAAGCAUUUCAAUCAUACACACAAUAUGCUCGAUAUGUGUAAAUACAACAUGGCAUCACAACAUAACUCUACGACUCAAGUAUUUAUUCAUUAGGCUCCAAAGAGCGAGAUAUUACAAACAUGGGUCUCACGACCCAACAUUCAGAGCAUACAAGUCAAAGCACAUCGGAAGCUUAACUUGUCUGAGUACAGACAACUAAAAAUGAAGAAGGCUGAGGAGCCUGACUAUCUACCAGACCCUCCCAAGGAUACAAGAUCGUCGCUGAGGUAACAAGCUAAACGUCGAAGCCCACAUGGAACUACUAGCGAGAAUGAAGUCUCUCUGCAAAACAUAAAAUAAGCAAACGUGAGUACAAAUGUACCCAUCAAGACUUACAUCAGAACUAACUACAUAUGCAUCGGUAUCAACAAAGAGGGUGGUGGAGUUUAAUUGCAGCAAGCCAGCUUUGACUCAGUGGCUAACCUGAACUACGACUGCAAGUAACUCUUUUGAGGUGGCGCACACGAGUCCACAAAUUCACCAUACCAAUACACCACUAUGGAUCCGCUCCCGUCUCCCUGCGAGAACGCUAUCCAUAGCACUCACGCUUAUCUUGCGAGUUUUAGAGUAUCCACUUUCACUUGUCCAUGAACUAUGCAAGGGGUCCAAGUUUCCAUAUCCGAGGAAUCCGGCUAUUCGAAUAGAUAAUGAGAACCCUGCAAGGGUGUACUUCUUCACACACGCUCUCGCCACUUAUCGCCCUGUACACGUCAUGUACCUCGGCAACCUUCAAGCGGAAGCCGGGAAAGGGAGUCGGCCACGACCUGACUAACCAACAAGUCUCUAGUCCAGGUUUAUCGCCUAUUCGGGUUCCAUUCGCAAGGAGAUCCGGCCGGGGUGUCGCUCACGGCCCCAAACGAUGUGUGCAGGGUUCCCAAGCCCACCAUCCGGGUGCCACUUGGUACACCGUGCCACUGUGCCUAGUCUGUCCCAAGCCCACCUAUACCGGGUGCCACUUGGUAGACUACUAACACUACCUACAAACACCAGAAACUAGUUGCAACUCCUGGACAGAGAUCGAGUUGAUUAAUAAGCUGAGAGGGGCCGAGUUACUGGAACCCAAUGUGUGGUAGUAACUGUUCAUGGAUCACAAACACAGAACUCAGUUCCUGAGAACGGCUGCAAUGAGACAACCCACCAUGUACUUCUAGAUGGCCUCUCACCGCUACCUUUACCAAAUCGUGUUCACACACUUAGCUCUCAACGGUAGGACAUGUUCACCAUGUUCCAAUUCAUUCCCGAUGAAUCAGGCCUGACUCAACUCUAAGCAGUAGCAGGCACGAAAACAAGCAUGAAUGAGUAGGCACAUCAAGGCUCAAACAACUCCUACUCAUGCUAGUGGGUUUCAUCUAUUUACUGUGGCAAUGACAGGUCAUGCAGAGGAAAGGGGUUCAACUACCGCAACAUGUAACAGUUGAAUCGGUGUUGUCCUAAUGCAGUAAAAGAGAGCAGGUGCGAGAGAGUGGGAUUGUAUUGGAAUGAACAAGGGGGUUUUGCUUGCCUGGCACUUCUGAAGAUAUUAUAGCUCUUCAUCGGUGUCAUCGAUCACGUCGUCGGAACCACGUCUAUCGAGAGGGAACAAACACCGGCAACUGAGAAAGAACACAAUCAAUGUGAUGCCACAAUAUGAUGCAUGAUCAUGACAUGGCAAUAUGCUGUGAUUUGAGCUAAUGCAUCUAGCUAUGAUUUAAAUGAAGUUGGUUUGAAUACAUGAUUCAAAUUCCAACCCCAUAUAUGAUUAUUUAAAUGCCCUUUAUUUGUUUUGUCCAAAACAGCGGACAAACAUUGUUCAAACAUGCAUGAAAAUGGUACAGAUGGAUUCCUUGAAUUUUUCUGAUAAUUUUUCAUAUAUAAUUUAUUUCAUUUGUAGUUACGGUUGAUUUUCUAUGAUUUUUAGAAGUUAGAAGUAUUUUCUGAAAUUCAUAAAUCCUUUUCUGAUUUAUUCUAAUUUCCAGAAAAUAGUAACAACGUCAGCAUGAUGUUAGGAUGACAUCAGCGGUCAACAGACCCGGUCCUGGUUAAACCUGAUCUUGGGGGCCCGCAUGUCAUAGACUCAGUGUUAAGUGGAUAUUAAACUGGGGCUAAAUAUCCGCGGGGCCGGCGUGUCAGUGACUGUGUUGGGGGGGGGGGCUAAUUAAGCACAUGCUUAACUCUAAACUAAUGACGCCAUGUCAUCUAAACAGCGAUUAGUCGCCGGUGCUAAGCGAGACGCAGCGGCGCUUCCCGUCCGGCCAUCUCCGGCGACGAGAGCAAGCGUAGCUGGGCUCUAUGUACUCAGGGCGACGCGACGCGUCGAGUGGUGGAUGUGGCAGGUGUGGAGGCUGGCUUUAGCGACGGCGACGGCGAGCUUUGGCAGAGGCCGGAGCUCGGGUUCGGUCGUGCGCGAGGCUGCGGCGCGUUAGCCAGAGCGCAAAGGGGCGCAUCGGGAUCCUGGGGACCCGGCGAGCACGCGGGAGCUACUGGAGCGAGCGGAAGAGCUCCGGGGUGCGAGGUUUGUCGGCCAUGGCGAUGGCCGGAGCUCGGUGCUUGCAGGGACGACGGCUACGGCGCGGGAAUGAGCAGGAGAGGAGGGGGAAAACGAAGGAGUCCUCACAGCGAAGUCGUUGAGCAUCUCAGACGGCUUGGGGACGGCUUGGAGAUGGUGAAUCGGAGCCGGCGAUCUUCGGUGCCCGUCGGUGAAGACGAUGACGAUGGCGUUACUGUAGGGAUCCCGGCGUCAUUUGCAUUGACGGAGACGACGUACGCGACGAGUGCGGAGCUUCCACACAAGUGGGGAGGCGAGGGGAGGCCACUAGGCACGGCGGCGGUGAGCUGCGCGCUGCGGGUGUGCUCGGGUGGCUGCGGAGAGAGAGCCAGAGCGGUGGGGAGAGGCCAGAGAGGCGAGGGAGUGGGCGAGGGGGUGCUGGGCGUCUUCAGGCGCGGACUAGGACGAAGGAGCGGCCUCCAGCGCGAAGCAGGAGGUGGAGGGCUCCGCGGGUGCGCGCGCGUGUUCGCUCCUGCCUACUUGCAGGAGGAAGACAACGAGCGAGGAGGUAAGUGGGCUGGGCCGGCUUCUCUCCUGGGCCAGGUGGGUAGGCUGCUCAGGUGAGCUCCUGUUUCCUUUUUGUUUUUGCUGUUUUUUAUUUAAUCUUUUGGCACUGUUUCAAAAUUCAAAAUGAAUUCAAAACAGUGCCAAAACACUCUGAAAUAUUUUAUGUUACCUCUCUAGACUAUUCCAAAAGUACAUAAAACAUUUCAAAGCAUUUGAAAAUAUAUUCAUUAUAUAUUAUGAAUAUAUCCCCAAAUUCAAAUAGAUUAUUGAUUUAAAUUCAGAGACCAAAUAAUUCCUUAAAAAUGUUCUAGAAUUUUGGUUUCAUAUAUAACUCUUGCCAAAAUUCACAAAACUAUUUUUAGGGCAUUUUGGAUUCAGAGAAUGCUAUUUAAAGGGUUCUUGCCCUUCUUUUAAAAUAAUUUAUGAGGCUUUGAAUAUUCCUCAUUUCAAUUUCUUGAAUUAAACAUGAUGCAUGCUCACUGAUGCAACUAUUACACUCAGAUAUUCUAGGGCUGUGACACAAAGCAUCAGCAAUAACAUUUUCUUUACCCUUCUUGUGUUUAAUGACAUAAGGGAAAGUCUCAAUGAAUUCAACCCAUUUAGCAUGUCUACGGUUUAGUUUUGCUUGACUUUUAAUGUGUUUCAAUGAUUCAUGACCAGAAUGUAUAACAAAUUCUUCGGGCCAUAAAUAAUGUUGCCAUGUUUCUAAGGUCCGAACAAGAGCAUAUAAUUCUUUAUCAUAAGUAGAAUAGUUCUGACUAGGCCCACUCAAUUUUUUUGAAAAGUAUGUAACAGGUUUGCCAUCUUGUAAUAACGCACCUCCUAAUCCAAUUCCACUAGCAUCACAUUCAAGCUCAAAAGUCUUAUUAAAAUCAGGAAGUUGGAGUAAAGGAGCAUGUGUCAACUUAUCUUUCAAUACCGUGAAGGCUUCUUCCUGUGCGGUACCCCAAACAAAAGGCACAUCCUUCUUUGUAAGCUCGAUGAGAGGUGCAGCAAUGGUGCUAAAAUCUCUCACAAAACACCUAUAGAAUCCAGCGAGGCCAAGGAAACUCCUCCCUUGUGUGACUGUUUUGGGCUGCGGCCAACUCUCGAUAGCUUCAAUCUUGGCUUUAUCAACUUCAAUUCCCUGUGGAGUAACAACAUAGCCAAGAAAAGAUACUCGGUCGGUGCAAAAGGUGCACUUUCCAAGGUUACCAAACAAACGUGCAUCACAUAGAGCAAUAAAAACAGCACGUAAAUGUUCCAAAUGUUCCUCCAAAGAUUUGCUAUAAAUCAAUAUGUCAUCAAGUAAACUACCACAAAUCGUCCAAUGCAAGCAUGUAAAACUUCGUUCAUUAAUCUCAUGAAAGUACUAGGUGCAUUAGUUAACCCAAAAGUCAUGACUAACCACUCAUAUAAUCCAAACAUAGUUUUAAAUGUUGUUUUCCAUUCAUCUCCCAAUUUCAUACGAAUUUGAUGGUAUCCACUACGCAAAUCAACUUUGGAGAAUAUUGUAGAGCCACUCAAUUCAUCAAGCAUAUCAUCUAGCCUAGGAAUAGGUCGGCAAUAACGAAUAGUAAUAUUAUUAAUGCCUCUACAAUCAACGCACAUACGCGACGUACCAUCUCAUUUCGGCAAUAAAAUGAUAGGAACAACACAAGGACUAAGGGAUUCGCGUAUAUAACCUUUGUCGAGCAUUUCUUGUACUUGACACAUAAUCUCCUUCGUCUCCUCUAGAUUGGUAUGGUAUGGUGCAUGGUUGGGUAAUGAUGCACCGGGAAUUAAGUCAAUUUGAUUUUCAAUCCCUCUAAUAGGUGGUAAUCCCGGUGGCACGUCUUGUGGAAAGACGUCAGCAAACUCCUGCAAAAUGUUAGUGAGAGCAGGACGCAAAGAGGAAGGCACGUCCUCGAAUGAAAAUAAUGCAUAUUUGCACACAAAAGCAUAGCAAACAGAUUUGCUAAAAUCUAGAUCAUCAAUAUCAGAUUUGGUGGCAAGUAAACAUGCACUUUUCAAUUUAAUUUCAGAAAAAACACUAGAUGGUUUAUUAUUAGGCUUCAUUUGUUGCUCAAAUUCUUUUGCCACAAUCCGAUUUUCACUCUUAUUUUUCUCCUGUUUUGCUUUAUUAGAUCUAUUAAUAUCAUCUUUCAAAAUGGAAUCAGGAUUCAUAGGAAGCAAAGUAAUAUUUUUAUCCUUAUGAACAAGAGUAUACUGAUUGUUUCUACCAUGGUGUACGGAUUUUUUAUCAAAUUGCCAUGGUCUACCAAGUAAUAAGGAACAUGCUUGCAUAGGUACCACAUCACAAUCAACAUAAUCAUCAUAUGUAGAGGCACUAAAAUGCACACGAACAGUACGUGUUACCUUAACCUUGUUGCUGUUGUUGAACCAUUGGAUGUAGUAAGGAUGUGGAUGUGGUCUUGUGGUGAGAGAUAGCUUCUCCAACAUCUCCAUGCUAGCCAAGUUAUUGCAGCUCCCUCCAUCUAUGAUGACGCGAACAGAACGUUCGUUCACAACUCCCUUUGUAUGGAACAAAUUAUGCCUCUGAUUUUGCUCAGCUUGUGUAACCUGCAAACUCAAAACAUGUUGAGCAACUUAACAUUCAUACCUGUCAGCAUCUUCAAUAGCCAUGUAUUGCGUCUCAUGAUUAGAAUCCUCUCGACUGUGUUCUUCAUGUGUAAUAAGAGCCAAAGUCUCCUCAUCAUAGUCACUAGUGGACUCAUACCCACCAUCCUCAGUAACAAUCAUCACACGCUGAGAUUUGCAUUCUCUCGCAAAAUGUCAUCUUCCCUUACAACGACGACAAAUAAUAUCACUUGUGUGCCCUGUUGAUGCCAUGGAAGAAGAAGAACUCUGUGCAGGCCCAGCAGGUGUGCUCUUGGCAGAUAGUGGUGGUUGUGCCUGCUUUCUUGUAUCACGGCUAGAUGUGGCACCUGAUGGAGGUGCUAGUGCAGUGGAAAUAUAGGAUGCACGUGGUGUCCAUGAUGAAGAUCGACCUGCUGAAAAGUUAGUUCGCUCCAAUGCCUGUCGAUCCUGCACUUCAUGUUCAGCUUUACAAGCAAGAUGGAAUAAACGAGUGAUAUUAGUAUACUCCUUAUACUCUAGAAUGGUAUGAAUCUCUCUAUUUAAUCCACCCAUAAAAUGUGCAAGCAUAGCUUCAUUCUCCUCAACAAUACCACAUCUAAUCAUGCUAGUUUGUAAUUCCUGAUAAUAUUUUUCUACAUAAUUUUUGCUUGUCUUAAACACUGCAAUUUUUGAAGUAAUUCACGUUGAUAAUAUGGUGGAACCCAACGAGUAAGCAUAGCAGUUUUCAAAGCAGCCCAAGUAGCUGGAAUAGGAUAUAAUCUACAAUGUUCAGACCACCAAACACAUGAGAAACUAGUGAAAGCACAAACAGCAGCAGGAACACGUCUCUCCUCAGGAUAUUGUAAGCAUGUAAAUCGUUGUUUAGUUUCUAACUCCCAAGUAAGAUAUAUAUCAGGAACAUAUCUACCCUCAAAUGGUGGAAUCUUCAAGUGCAGUUUAGGGAGAUGGUCAUGAUCACGUACCUGAGGUGGUUGUGCAGCCCUACCAUUGCGAUGAUAUGCAUGAGGAUGACCUGGUGGCGGUGGUGCUGGUGGUUGCAUGUAGUUCUGAUUUUGAUCAACCCCAUCCUCAUAAUGGUCCUCCACCUCUGCACUAGCAGCAGGAGCUACAGAAGCAUCAACAGCGGCACCAGAAUUUUGACCAGGCUCAAGGGGAAUGCGCAGUGCCCGUCCCACUUGAUUUGGAAGGCAAUGUUGUUGUUUUGUUGUUGUUGUUGUUGUAGAGGUGCGUUAGGUGCAGCUGCUGGUGGUGGUGGAAGACUCGCGAGCAAUUCAUUAAACUUGUUAUCGAGCUUUGUUUUGAACAUCUUCUCAAUGCCAUCUAUCUUCUCCAUGGCCUCUUCAAAUCUGUUUAGCACAUCUUGCACCUGUCCACUAAUCAUUUGCUGAAAUUUAUCAUGUAGUUCUUUGUUCAUCAUAUUCUCCCAAUCUGUCUCAUCGGCUUGUGAUCCUGCCAUGGUUAGCAGCAAUAGAAACACAUAAGAAUAUGAUCCUGCCAUGGUUCUUACCCAACCGCAGGUGGUGAUCGGCAACCGUGGUAGUCAAAACUCUCAAAGAUUGGAUAGAGCGAUUGCCAGGUGGUGUCAAACGCACGAUGUAGAUGUAUGUGGAGCUCGGAAGGCUUAUGAUAUGGUAGCAAAAAUGUCAGCAAUAAUCAAUUCAGUGAUGCAAAGUUGAAUAAACGCUCAAUGACGGUAUUGUGCUGGUCCUAGGCUAGACUGUACUAGAGACGCGAGCCUAGAACACGAACAAAAUCAUGGCGCGACAUGUAAACAAGGAGGAGCACUCUCUGAAUUUUUUUCCUUUUUUAACUUUUUCCUCUCUUUUUUUGCUCCGCAACAAUUUUUUUCGAAAAAGUCCACAAAUGGUCUAAAAACUGUCUAGCCAGAAUUUUCCAAACUUCGUUUUUCCUCUUUUUUUGAGUUUGGAACUAUUUUUCUACUGCGGGUAGCACGGAAUCUCAGGAGUCCUACUCUGUCAUGACUCGGAGUAUGGCGUGAUCUGGAACUCAAAAACAAAGCAACAAAUACUGGACUCGGACUAGGACUGGUGGCGAAGAUGAAUCUGGUGGAACUCGGACUGGUGGUAUAUCUGGACUCGGAUUGGUGGUGGUAUAUGGCGAUGGUAUAUGUGGACUCGGAUUGGUAGUUGUAUAUGGCAGCGGCGAUGUAUAUGGUGGGGUGGUGGUAUAUGGUAAUGAUGACGACGAUGGUGCGGCGGCGGCGUGACAACCUGUGAACAGAACUCGAAACUCUAAGGGACUAGACGCUAAGACCAGCAACUCGACACGACGAUGCAACCACAAAUUCAACAAAGCAAAACUCUAAAAAGACUAUGCAAAGAGCUAACCCUAAUUUUUUUGGCUUUUUCGUGGACUAUAGGUAUGAAGAACAAACUCGACCUAAACUAUGAAAAACUGAAAAAUCUCAUCGAGCAACCUGGAAAUCUGAUACCACUUGAUAGAGGCGAAGGUGUCCCGAUGUUUCGAUGAGAUGGUGGAUAUCAUUUUCUAUGGGAGUCGACCUUGAAGAUCCGACUACGAACGUGCGAGACGUCGUGCCUUAGCAAUCGCUAAACCAACUUCCGAGGGUUAUUGACCAUGCCGGAGCACGAUCAACCUGACCACGAGGGUCUGUUUCCUGUGAGCAAACAAAGAACAAGCAAGAAAUAGAGAUUGCAAUCUAGAUAUUGCAUAUAUAAGAGGAAAGCUUUAUUGAUCAAGGUGGGGUUCUGUCACGCCUUUGUCUGGUGAUUGAACACAAACGAAGUACGCGAAGUUGCAGCUAUGGUGAACUUUACUCUAAACAAAACCCAAAGUCUAAAUGACACCCUAAGGGCUGUAUAUAUGGAGGAAGAGGGAGGGAUUUCGUGGCCCUUGGAGGAGGGGUCCGAAACCAACCCUAACUCUUGUUUCCCCACACAUACGGACUCUAAAAACAGCCUAUACUUAAGUAUUUCGAAAAUACAUGCGCCUGGCCCAAUAAUAAGGUGACGCAGCACCUAAAAUAGCCUCUGGACGAAAUUUAUGAAGGGCAUCUUGUAUAUUUCGUCCAAGGCUUCAUGCACUCCUUAUGGUGUCUUCAAAGUUCUGAAAUCAUCACUUGUAACUCCGUUCUUGAGCCCCUUGCGCAUGCCAUCAUCUCCAUGCUUGAACUUGAUCCAAGGUUCAUAUUUCUUGUCCAAGCUAGGCCCUUCAUUUGUAAGCAAAACAAAUGUAUCCAAUUUAGGCAGCAUCAUAUUCUCAUGAACAUUAGAAUCAUUACCAAGAAACGAAAGUACCUGAUAAUUCAAUUGGCGUGCGCAAGCUCUAGUAAUUGGUCCUGUAUGUAUAGUAGCAGGGGCUAUGGGUGUAACAAUGGUAUUGAUGUCCUCAUCACCGGCCCUUGGCCCAGAUGUCCGACCGCUGUAGCAUUAGCAGCUCCGUCUUCUUCCGUUGUCGCUUCUAGGCUUCCCUCGCGGAUGGUGUAGUUGUACCUUGGCGCUUGCAUUCCUCCUCAUCGUCCGUAGUGUUCCGAAAAUACCUAUGCAUGCACACGAGUGGAGUGUCAAGUAAUAUACCAUCCUCGAAGGGGUCAAGUGAGCACGUGUAAAGGAGAUGAUUCACCUUUGGGUAUGUGAAGUAGAUGUCGCACGUGUCACUCGCCGAACAGACUCUUGACAUGGUGAUGUCCAUAGGAUGCUCUGCAUCAUCUCCCCUCCCUUGGGAAACAUCCGACCUCGGAUCGAAAACCAAAUCACCAUGGGAAAGAGAUGGCUUCGCCGUGUAGAAGUGGACGUUCACCAAGUAGUUGUCAUCUUGAAGCUUGAAAUGGGCACUCUCCAAUGUCACACUGUCUUGUGAUUCCUUCAAAAGGAGUAAGGAUAACAAACACUUAGAAAAACAAAUGUGGUUAGCGUUAGUGCAAAACCAAGCAUUCAAGAGGUGAGUCACCAAACAAGUGUCGUCAUCAUGCAAAGCAUAUGGUGUGACAAAGGAUUGUGACAUGGCAUGUAAGCAUAUCAAUCAAGCACAAUAAAAGAUAUCAUGGGGACAAGCAUGUAAAUGUGAGGCAGUGAUGCAAAUAUGUGUAACAAGAGAAUAAGCAUCUACCUUAAAGUCAUAGCAAUCAUGAGCAAAGCGCUCAAUGAAAGGUCUAUGGUAGGCAUAAGAAGCAUUCACAACACCAAAUAAAAUGAAGUGUCUAAACACAUGGGUUAAGUGCAAGACAAUCCAAGCAUAAUGUGCAUGUGGUGUAGUGAAUAUUAUUUGGCACUCAACACAAUGGAAAGAGCAAUUGUUCAUCAUGUGUGAGGCAAUCAAGGCAAGCAUGUAGCAAUCAAUGGGACAUGGCAUAUGUGAAGUGAUGACAUUGUUGCAACCAAACAUAUGAUAGGAGCAAGUAAUCCAAGAAUUGGAUGCAACACACAAGGCAUAUAUAUCAUGAUGCAUGUAACGGUGAAAAUGACAAGUCGAAGCAAGAUCUCUAACAUGUGUGCAAUCAAGUGUUCCAAGAUGAACAAUAAGUCUCAUGGUGCAAGCAACACAAGUAGUAUGAUCCGUCAUAUCCACGCUCAAGAAAGAUGUCACCUUGUAGGCGUGUCCUUGUGCGUCCUUCACAAUGCCGAAGUACAAGCAAGUGCGAUGUAGAAUCGUUGUGGUAGAAGGUGGUUCGCUCUCAAGAGCUUGGAUGGUCAACUCAUGUGAAGUGGAAGUUGACACGAAGUCCAAGUAUCCUACACAUGCACAAAACAAAAGAAAGAACGUAUGCGCAUGGUAGAUAAACACAUCAUCCAUCAUGAUGGUUCUCUUCUCUUGCACAUAACCAUUAGAAGCACAAGUGCAUGAAUAAUAUGAUGCAACAACGGCAAUAUUCAUGGCACUAGGUAUAUGGUGCAAAGAGGUAAGAAAAGCAUGCUUCACAAGAGAAAUGUCAAAAUCUCCAAAUAUAUGCGAGAAUGCUAUGGAGGCAAACUCAUUAUCAAGACUAAAGGCAUAAUUGCACUCAAUACAUGGCAAAUCAUCUAGCAUGAGAGAGGCAACAUAUGGAGAUAUAUGACGGCAAGCAAUAACAAUCAUGUGAUAAGCAUGUAGAUGGUUGUCAUCAACCGCAUUAAAUGAGCAAGUACGAAUCAUCGGUGAUGCAACAUAAGCAAUCGUAGUAAUCAAGUUGUGCAAGCUAGUAGUGCGAAGAUGCAACAUACUAGAGGAAAUCAUUGCAAUCAUAUAAUGUGAGAAAAUAAUAGGAAUAGACAAUGCACAUGACAUAUCGCAAGCAUGAACACAAAGCAAGAUCGUAGUAUCAUCAUAGGCAUGGGGGACAAAGAAAAUAUGGCAAUAACAAGUGAUAUCUCCACCAAGCUUGCAAAUACACAUACAAGUAGUAGAAUCAAUCAUCAUGUGUAAUGCAAAGUAUGGGUCACAAAUGCAUGGCAAAGGCAUAGGAAUGAGCAUAUCAUGCAAAGUGAACAUGGCAAGAUGGGCAUAGAAUAUGUAAUGGACAAUAACCCAUAGCCAAGUGAGGGUCAUGUAGAAGAAAUGCGCGAAGUCUUUGCGCGGAGAGAGCAGUGGGAAAGACACUCCAUGGGAUCCCAAAUCAUCAUUGCUCUCUAGAGCUCAUUUUUUCAACUCGUGGGAUUGCGAGGUUGACAAGAAUUCGUGGGUACCUACACAAAAGAGACACAAACAAAAGAGAUUGUGUGUGUGGUAAAUGUCCACAUCAUCCAUCAUGUUGUGUAUGUGCACGUGAGAGUUAGCACAAGAUAAGCAUCGCUCAAAGAAAUUUGAUGCAUGGUAUAAGAACAUGUCAUCGGCCAUGAAAGAAUAGUUAUUGCCUAUAACACGAUGGGGACACAAAUUGAGAAUGCAAUUAUAUGGCACAUCAAUAGCAUGUUUAUUCAUGGGAAGCAUAUGGUGCACACAAGUAUUGGGAUCAUGCAAUGAAUGGGAUGAAUCAAAAUCUCCUAAAUUGUAUGAGGAAACUAUGGGGGUCUCCUCAUGAGCAAUAUUGGAAACAUCAUAUGGAGAAAAUGGACAACAUCCAAAACAAUGCAUAUCCGAAGCUAGGUGGUCAUGGCAUGGCAUAUGAGAUAAAUGAUGCAAAGGGAGCAUAUCAAUAUCAUCACAAGAAAAACAAAUACCAAUAACCAUGGGCUUGUCAUCUAUGCCAUAUGUGCAAAUUGGGUUCAUUUUAAUGGCAUAUGCAUAGUCACUAUGAAGAGAUUGCAAAUAUGACAUGUGAUCGAUCUCAUGCAUAGCAUAUGACAAGUCAAGCGGAUUGGCAAACAUGAUGUGACCGAGAGAAUUAGCACAAGAAAUCCUAUGUAACAUGGCAUCACAACUAAUAGACUCCACAUGACAAUCAUCAUACUCAUCAUAAAUGGGUAAAUCAUCACAUGGGGAAGUCACACUAGCAUGAAGAAUGGAAAUAGGUUGAUCAACAUCAUGCAAGCAAUCAUCGUCAAGAAUGUCGACUAGUGGGACUAGAGCAUCACCUUCACCUAUGUUACCUUUGUCAUUCCACUCAUAUGGUGCAGGUGAGGUGGGAAAGACCAAAUGGUGGUCAUCUUCAUCUUGAUGGAACCAUGUGGGUGGUCCAUCACAUUCCACCAUGGCCAACGUCUUGUCCAAAGGUAGGGUGAAGUCGUCGAGAAUCGGCGCGUCAUCAUAUAAGGGACCUAGCACCAAAUGAGAAGACACAAUAGAGGUAGAGGUCAAGUCGUUAGUGUUGAAAGUGGCCUCACAUGACCUAUCAACUAUCUCACUCUCUCUAUGUGGUGGUUCACUCACUCUCUCAAAAUAGGUGCACUCAAACUCACAUAUGAUGGAGUCACUCAUCCCACUCAAGAGGUGGGGGUUGUGGCUCUCCUCACAUGGGAAUUGUGGAAACACAUCAUAUAUGGGGCUAGCGGUGAAAUCACUCUCACUCUCAAUAUGGUGGCUAAAGUCACUCAAGUCAUCACAUGUCGCCGUGGUCGAAGGGAAAAUCCCAUGCUCAACCAUCUCGUUGUUGUCACCGUGGAUGAAGGCCAAAGAUGGCACAUCAUCACUCUCGCCUCCUAAGGUGGAAGCAUCAUCCUUGCUCGCCACCUCGCCACUCGCUUCCAAAGCUUGGUCCUUGAGGGUCUCCGUAGUCGUACUUGUAGCCGCACCAUCUUGAAAAAGAGUCAAAGUAGACUCGACAUCAUCAAUGCCACAAAGAGGGAUGGUGGUGAAGUCGAACUUGGGAGCAUCAUCUUGGAGCUCGUCGGGCUUGGACAUAUUGGUGGUACUAUCCUUGUGCUCGCCUUCUUGGAGCUUGGUCUUCGAGAAGUGUGCUUGGGGUCGAGAAGCCUUGGUCUUCAUGAGUUCUUGUUCCGCCUUGAGAGCACCAAUGUAGUUGUCAUCGAGGGACUUGUAGUUCUCGAGGAAGAUCGUCUUGGAGAUGUCGUUAUGUAAUCCCAUCAUGAAGUGGAACUUCAUCGAAAUGGGGUCGUCCAUGCCGGCUCGUCGUAAGGCAAUCUUCAUCUCCUUGAAGUACUCGUCGAUGGACUUGGAUCCUUGGAUGGUGUUCUCCAAUUGGCAUUGAAGUUGUUCCGUGUAGGUUGGGGGCAUGAACUCUUUCCACAAGGCUCUCUUCGUCUUGGGCCAACUCAUGUCGUAGGUCUUCGAAGGUGUGUGAAGUCACCAUCUGGACGCAUAGUCGUGGAAGUUCCUUGUGGCGCACUUCACUUGAUCUUCGGGAGGAACUUGAUGUAGCUUGAGGUAGUCGUCCAUCAAAUGCUCCCACUUGAGAUACUCCUAGGGUUCUUGAGUCCCAUAGAAAGGAAUCUUGUGGUCGGCAUCGAGGUCGUAGUAGCUCGUGGAAGUCGCGGACUUGAGCUUGGGGAGCUUCUCUUGAGCGUAGUCUUGAGGUGCUUGUUGGCGAAGAUGCCGUAUGUCCAUAGGAUCAUAUUCUUGUGUGUUUCUUUUGUUGCUAACCAUAGCAGGAUCACAAGCCGACGAGACUGACUGGGAUAACAUGAUGAAUAAGGAGUUGCAUGAUAAAUUCCAGCAAAUGAUGAGUGGACAGGUGCAAGAUGUGCUAAACAGAUUUGAAGAGGCCAUGGAGAAGAUAGAUGGCAUGGACAAGACAUUUGAAACAAAGCUCGAUAACAAGUUUAAUGAAUUGCUCGCGCGUCUUCUACCACCACCACCGGCUGCCCCUAACGCACCUAUACAACAACAACAACAACAACAGCGUCGCUUUCCAAAUCAAGUGGGAUGAGCACAGCGCGUUCCCAUUGACCCUGGGAAAAAUUAUGGUGCCGCUGUUGAUGCUUCUGUCGCUCCUGCUGCUACUGCAGUGGUGGAGGACCAUUACGAGGAUGAGGUUGAUCAAAAUCAGAACUACGUGCAACCACCAGCACCACCACCACCAAGUCGUCGUCAGGUAUAUCAUCGCAACAGUAGGCUGCACCACCAUAUGAGGUACGAGAUCAUGACCAUCUUCCUAAACUAAAGUCGAAUAUUCCACCACUUGAGGGUAGAUAUGUUCCUGAUAUAUAUCUUACUUGGGAGUUAGAAACUGAACAACGUUUUACAUGUUUACAAUAUCCUGAGGAGAGACGUGUUCCUGUUGCUGUUUGUGCUUUCACUAGCUUCGCAUGUGUUUGGUGGUCUGAACAUUGUAGAUUAUAUCCUAUUCCAACUACUUGGGUUGCUUUGAAAACUGCUAUGCGUACUCGUUGGGUUCCACCAUAUUGUCAACGUGAAUUACUUCAAAAAUUGCAGCGUUUAAGACAAGGAAAAAAUUCUGUAGAAGAAUUGAUAAAGGCGAGGGUGUCCCGAUCUUUCGAUGAGAUUAUAAUUGUCGAUUUGGUGGAGUAGACUUUGACGAUCCGACUACAAACAUGCAUGACGUUGCGCCUUAGCAAUCGCUAAACCAACUCCGAGAGGUUAUUGACCACGCCGGAGCAUGAUCAACCUGACCAUGAAGGCCUAUUCCUGCAAGCAAUCCAAGAACAAGAAAGAAUAUGAUAAAGCAAUCUAAAUAUUGCGAAUAUAUAUAUGAAGUGUUGAUAAAAGUGGAGUUCUAAAAGCGGUCUUGGUCUGGUCGUUGGAAACAAACGAAGUACACGAAGUUGGUCUGGCCGUUGGACACAAAUGAAGUACACGAAGUUGCAACAGUGGCUAACUUUUGACUAAUUAAAACCCAGAGUCUAAACGACGCCCUAAGGGCUGUAUAUAUGGAGGAAGAGCGGAGAAUUUCAUGGCUCUUGGAGGAGGGGUCCGAAACUAACCCUAACUCUUGUUUCCCCACACAUACGGACUCUAAAAACAGCCUAUACUUAAGUAUUUCAAAAAUACAUGGGCCUGGCCCAAUAAUAAGGUGACGCAUCACCUAGAAUAGCCUCUGGACGAAAUUUAUGAAGUGGCAUCUUGUAUAUUUCGUCCAAGGCUUCAUGCAAUCCUUACGGUGGCUUCAAAGUCCUGAAAUCAUCACUUGUAACUUCGUUCUUGAUCCCCUUGCGCAUGCCAUCAUCUCCAUGCUUGAACUUGCUCCAAGGUUCAUCUUUCUUGUCCAUGCUAGGCCCUUCAUUUGUAAGGAAAACAAAUCUAUCCAAUUUAUCUUUGCGGCAUAAAUUCAAAUGAUUGAUAUAUGCAUAGAAGGUUAAUGCAGGUGAUAAGAAAUAUGUUGCGGAGAGCACAUCAGAUUAUGUCCGAUAGCUUAUUAGCAGUCUCCCUUGAAUUACAAUGACAACCAGUCAACACUACAAUGUCACGAUCUUUGCACUUUGAUUUGUUUUCAUUGUAUAAAGUGUGGACCAAUUUCACAGGAUAAAGAAGUCUAAGCCUAAAGUCAUCAUGGUUGAGGUUGAUAGUAUAUCUGCUGGUGAUAGCGGUGGAGCUGCUGAUCUUAUUGCAAGAUUCCUAUAGUUUGCAUUUGUAAUGGCAGUUAUAGCAGGAAGCUGAAGAGCACUAUAAAUUACCUAUUUGGUACUCAACUUCAGGAAACCAACAAAUUAGCAGGUCAUUUCAUGCCACCAUAUUCUGAUGAUUUAUGAAAGACAUGAUUAGUUUUCUUACUGUUCUCUGUUAUAUCCUUAUUACCCUUACUGCUGACUGUGACAACUAACAUGCUGUUCUCAAUUGCUUUCUGGGACUCAUUUUAUCAGAUACAAGUCCGCUUGCAAUUUUUGGGAGAAUAAACAGUUCCUUUGGGUUCAUCGCUCGGUUUUGUCCCUGCUAUGCUUACUGCUCCUACAUGGCUCUUCAGGGUUAUGGAUGGAGUGCGUUAUUUCGACGGUCCUCUAUUUUUUUUGUUGCGUGUGCCUUCAGGUCCAUCAGGUAUAAUUGUGCUUCACCUCCCUUUCGUUGUUUUCUUUUAUCUUGGUGUUUUCUCUUUUGUUUAAUUCAUUGUUGUAUCGCUCAAGGGCAUCUUGAUUAGUUUGAAUUGUGCUUUUUUAGCUAGAUGAAUUUAUAAAUGGUUGCCCUUUUCUGUUGAUUAAGUGUCUAUGUGCAGAGGUUCAUCUCCCCCUUUUCAUUCUGCGGCAUUUGUUUUUCACUUAGUUUACAUAUGUUUGUGUCUGGUAAUGUACUCUUCCUCAUGGAUUCUUUGGGUUCAUGUUCUUUCAGUGCUUUAGGAAUCUUCAGUUCCAAUGGAAAAUAGGAUGUAUCAUGCAUGCAAAGAUGAGAGGAUAGUUGAUCCAAUUUCCUUGUGCUACAAAGUUAUUUGCCAUAUUCUUAUUUUUUAAAUGUGGAAUGCACAGCUUGGUUCACAGCUACUUAAUCUUGAAAAAUAAAAGGAAAAUAAUUUUGAGGGAAAAUAUAAAUCUAAACCAAUAAGGAGGCUGGGAUGAUAUUUGGAUUAAACAACAAGCUUGCUACAGCCAGUCAAGUGCUCAGUGACAAUUAGCUUGUGGACUGGUUCUUUAGUACCUGGUUAGAUCUCAUGUGUGCUAAAGGAGAAGAUUGGAUAAACCCAUGAGUUUGAAGCUCAGCUCCAUAAAUAUUUCCCCCUUGGUCAUUUAUGUACAUAACGGUGUGAUACGACACCUAUAGAAAUUGCUACUGAUACUUGGAAGGUCAUAUUUACACUAAUAUGCAGAUGCGGCUUUAUCAUUUUGAACCAUGUAUCAUGUUAGCGUACUGUUAUUAUCUUGUUUAUCCAUUCUUCUUUGUGUAAACUUCAGAGAUAUCUGUAUUAUAGUGAAAGAAUCACUGAACUGUUCACUUGAAACUCUUUGAAACUUUGAGAGCAGUGUUUAUUUACCUUACUUAGCAAUUGUAAGGGUAUCAUGUUAAACUACUUGCUGAAAUUCUGUAUUCUAUUACUAUUAAAGGUCACCCGCAGGCAGAUCAUUCCAGUACCACUCUACCGGUGUUUGGCCUGAAUCUGAAUAAUUAAAUCUCAAAACACAGUUACACAACAUAAGUUGGAAGUAAUGUGAGCUUGCUUGUUCGGUUAUGCUUGAUAUAUGAUGCCAAGAUUCGUCUUUGUCUCCUCUGUGCACCCAUCGUCUUCUAACCUCCUCUCAUCAUCAGGUAUAAGGCGAGUUGUGUCCCUGGUAGAGGUGCAGAUCAAGGAGGUCAACAAAUGGGAUGAUGUUGGGUGACGUUCACUAAGGAGGAAAAAGGUGUAGGGGUCGUUGUUUUUUUGGCGAUGGCAGCGGCAUACUUCCUUGAGCGAAGAAAGGAAUCCCCAGCCUGAAGCUUCGCACAGGUAUGUCUGAGCGUCUUAUUUGUUAGUGUUGCCAGCUCUGGGAAAUGCAUGCCGAGUAGUUGUUGGCUUGUUGCAUGUAUGUUAUUGCUACAGUAUUAAUUUUUUUUGCUGAGAAUACAAACUGUGAAGCCACUAUUUUCAUACUGUAUGUUAUUGCACAGGUAUGUCUGAGCGUCUUAUUCUCACAACAGUUAAUUCUAAGGCCAUUCAUAUCAUUGCAGAUUUUGCCUAUUCUCUGAGAUGGAUGAUGAUGAGCGGUGCAACCGAAAAUUCAGAGCUGAGCUUUACACACUUCAGUGGGUAAGUGAAGUUCCAGUUAAUCUUCUUUCCCCUAUUACCGCUCUAUUGUACAGAGAGCACUGAGUUUACAUUAGCUAAAUGUUAGAUUGGAAUGCAGGAGUGGCAUGACAACACCAAGGUAGAGACCUGAAGAGAAGCACAGGGACAGACCAAGGAAACUAGAACCACGCUGUCGUGAUGUGGGCCGUGUCGUCUUCGUCCAUCUCCAUGGAGGUAUAUAUAAAUAUAUAGGUUAGGUAUAGGAAAUGAGACCAUCUCCAUGGAACUCUGACUGAUGUGUAAUGUCCUCAUAGGACCUGACCGACCAAACUAAACAUUCACUCAUAUUUUUCAUUUUCUCACUUAUCAUUAAUACGAAUUUUUUUGUUUAAAACUUAAAAGUCAAACCUGGAUUUACCGCUUGUGUCUACUCCAGUGUGUUAUAUUCUUCAGAAUGUCUUUAUGAGCAAGAACGGAUCAAUCAUAAAUUUUCAGAACAUCUCUAUUGAGUUUUUCCCUUCUAUAUCCUAUCUUCUCAGCACUUCUAGAAAGAGGUCAGACCUCCUAAUUUUUUCUUUUGUGUUCCCCAUGAUUCCGGUCCUUAUAAUUUAUCUGUUUUUGUAACAACUUUUAGCAUGUCAUAACAUUUAAUUAUGCGCUCUUAUAUUAUUAUAUUCUUACAAUCUUGUGUUUUGAAUAAUUCUUGUGGCUUGAAGUCAGAACAGUUUUAAAUAUAUCCAAAGGAUGAUAAUCGUCCGUGUCAAGUUGAGUGCACGAGAAAGAUAGAGAAAAAAUAAAGGUGAAAAGGGUCUGAGUACUGUUUCCUCACUUUUCAUGAUGUGAAUGUCCUUUAAUUCUUGUUAUUUCUAUUAAAUAAAGUAAAAAAUACUCAUGUAUAUUAAGUACUUUAAUGCAUAUUUUGAAAUUUUGAAUUCUACAGUUCAAUCAAUGAGACCAAUAGUUAGUGUAGAAACAUAUUAAACAAUUAUAGAUGUUGCCUGCACAUAAGCGCGCCCAUGGAGAAUCCAAAUUGUAUUAGAGAAAGCGAAAAAUAAUAAUUCUCAUGUUUGAGGUUCAGUUUCAUACUGGUUGCAAUUUCUUAUAGAUAGGUUAUUUUGUUGUAGGAUAAAUGGAGGUAAUAAGGUCAUAUGAUACUAAUGGGCUUGCUCUAAUCCCAAAGCUCAUUAGUGUUGGGACCAUCUUGAAAAUUAUGCUUCCACCUAUUGAUUUGUGUUGCCUUAGUUUGUUUAUAAUGUAACCAGUCCAAGGGCUGACGAGUUUUCGAGCCCUAUGACCUUUUUUUUAAGAUUGAGCCCUAUGACCUUUGUACACUCAGCUUACGUUCUACAAGGUUCAUGUGUCGUGCAGUGUUCUCGCUUUCCAAGCUACAGUCUUAUAUUAGUUUACAGAGGGAGAGAAGGAGUACUUGAAAAGAGAUUCUUUAUAUAUUGUUUGGUUCCAUCAGCCAUAUAACCUAAAAUAGCAAUUAGGUAUCUACACAGUGUAGUGUAACCAUUGUGCUUGCUGCAGUUUUACUUUAGUGUUGAAAUGCUUUUCUUAGUUUGUUCUAUAAUACGAAAUAUUUUUUUUCCAGCCAUUGUUUUCUAAAUCCUAUCAGCAUAUUACCUGAUAUGGCCUUUGAAGUUUCUGUUUUAUAACGAGCUUUGCACUGGUCAGCUUGAGUAUGGUAUGGUUUAUUCUUUUCUGUUGCGGCUAUUCCAGAGAAGUUUAGAGCUCCACAACCUUCUGAAGACUUGAUUUACAGUAGCGGUGAUGAAACAAUCAAUCAAUUGAGAUUCAUCACAUGAUCUUUUUCUCUUGACAUUGAUGGGUAUCGAACCCAUAGAUCAACUUAUCAAUGGAUCUCUUGUCAGUGUUGAGAAGGUGUCACAAAAACUCAAGAGCAGUUUUAAUAUGGUCUCUUACCUUCUUACCUAUCAUGUGAAAAGAGAGGGUAAGAGGGACCAUGUCAAAAUUAGCCAAAACUCAAACACAGGGCAAUCAGCUAAGGAAAGAAGCUAAGAAGCAUCAGAAAAGGCUUUUAGGAUGGUAUAGCAGUCAAAUGCAUCCUAGGAUUGGUACUUUUAAGAAUUAUGGUGUGUUUUGCUCCUUUUUUGUUUACCUUAGCCACAUAGGUUAGCCUCAAUUCAUUAUUAUCCUUCUAUUUAGAGUAGGUGCAGAACUAACACUAACCUAGGUUGUGAGAGCUGAUGAUGAUGAUUCUAUUAAAACUCCUUGCUAGCUGCACCGUUUGUCUCUGUAAACAAUAUAACUAAGGGCAUAUGGUUUCCAAUGUGACUAAGAUCUAAAUUCUUGCCGAGUGUAGUUUCUAAAGCAUAGAGUUGCUGAAAAAUUGAAAUACAUUCUUAAUUGGCCUGUACAUCUUAUACACAUGUUUUUUUCAAGCUCAUAUUUCUUAGCGUGAUAACCAUACUUUCAACUAAAAAAAUGCUUCCUUAAUUGGUUUGUACAUGUUAUACAAAUAUGAUUUUUAAACUCACAUUUUCAGCGUGAUAAACAUAUUUUCAAUAUAGCAUGAUUUAACACAUGGGCUUUCUACUACCAAUAUCGAAUAUGUCCUUGCAAAAUGAAACUAUUUUUCUCGAUAACAUGGCUUUAGUGGGUCUCUGCGCCAUUUGGCGCAAUGGGUCAACUAGUAAUAAGAAAAUGUGGGAAGAAUGCUUGCCUCAUAUUGAAUUUGCUUAUAAUCAUUCAUUGCAUUCUACUACUAAGAUGUGCCCUUUUGAAAUUGUGUAUGGUUUCCUACCUCGUGCACCUAUUGAUUUAUUGCCUCUUCCAUCUUCGGAGAAGGUUAAUAUUGAUGCUAAAGAACGUGCUGAAUUGAUUUUAAAAAUGCAUGAGUUAAUUAAGGAAAACAUUAAGCGUAUGAAUGCUAAAUAUAAAUUUGCUGGAGAUAAGGGUAGAAAACAUGUUGUGGAGACCAAGCAUGGAGAUGAUGGCAUGCGCAAGGGGAUCCAGAACGGAGUUACAAGUGAUGAUUCUAGGACUUUGAAGCCACCAUAAUGAGUGCAUGAAGCCUUGAACGAAAUAUACAAGAUGCCACUUCAUAAAUUUCGUCCGGAGGUUAUUCUAGGUGCUGUGUCACCUUAUUAUUGGGCCAGGCCAAUGUAUUUUCGAAAUACUUAAGUAUAGGCUGUUUUUAGAGUCCGUAUGUGUUGGGAAACAAGAGUUAGGGUUGGUUUCGGACCCCUUCUCCAAGGGCCACGAAAUUCCCCCUCUCUCCUCCAUAUAUACACCCCUUAGGGCAUCGUUUAGACUUUGGGUUUUGUUUAGAUUAAAAGUUCG
rnacentral:lncRNA from 1 species